rnacentral:lncRNA from 1 species
GCAAAUACAAUCACUUGCAAAGCGCACCGACCGUCAUCGGCUAACGCUUAUGUUCCCUCGCCUCGCCCUAACUGGAUUUGUAUGCAGUCGGCUAAUGCCCUGACCUACGACGAGCUUCAGGGCCUGACCUACCUCCAGGUUAAGGGCACUGGCAUUGCCAACACCUGCCCUGUCCUGGAGAAGGGCUCGACUGACCUGUCGGAGCUGUCUGCCGGCACCUACAAGCUGGAGAACUUCUGCAUCGAGCCCACCUCUUUCACUGUUAAGGAGGAGAGCGUGUUCAAGGGUGGCGAGACUGAGUUCGUGAAGACGAAGCUCAUGACCCGCCUGACCUACACCCUGGACGCCGUGAGUAGAGUAUCAGUAUUCCUCGUUAAUACUUUGAUGAUGAUCAGCAAACUGCGCUUGGGGAUUCGUUCAAUGCCCGGCUUGGUUAAGUUCCUGAUCAGCGGCACAUGUUAACGUUAUACCUGCACCUUCCCAUAAUGCAGAUGAGCGGCACCCUGAAGGUUGGCUCUGAUGGCUCGGCUGAGCUGAAGGAGGAGGACGGCAUUGACUACGCUGCUACCACCGUGCAGCUGCCGGGUGGUGAGCGCGUUGCUUUCCUGUUCACCAUCAAGCAGUUCGACGGCAAGGGCACCCUGGAUAACAUCAAGGGUGACUUCGUUGUGCCCUCCUACCGCGGAUCGUCCUUCCUGGACCCCAAGGUACGCGCAUAUGCAUGGCACGAUGAGCGGGGUUGGGUAUCAUGUUUUUUUUAAAGGGGUGUCGUUUGCAUCUGGCGGUGGCGCUCAGAAAUCUUGUGGCUUCCUCUCACCUUGACCCCUUCCCCCCAAUCCAACAGGGCCGCGGUGGCUCGACCGGCUACGACAACGCCGUUGCCCUGCCGGCUCGCGCUGAUGCCGAGGAGCUCUUGAAGGAGAACGUUAAGUCGACCAAGGCUCUUAAGGGCUCGGCCGUUUUCUCCGUUGCCAAGGUGGGUCUGAUUUUGUUGCCGGACCUCCAGCUGGGUAGAUUUGGGUCUGAACAGCCCGAGCUUCAUUCGUGUCUUUGGCACCAAACGUCACCGAACCCGAAAUUCCUGCUGCCACAGGUGAACACCGCGACUGGCGAGAUUGCUGGUGUCUUCGAGAGCAUUCAGCCCUCGGACACUGAUCUGGGUGCCAAGCCUCCCAAGGACAUCAAGAUCACCGGCCUGUGGUACGGCCAGCUGUCCCAGUAAGGGAGCAGCUGCUGAGGAUCGGAUGACGGUACAGGAGCUUGCUGCUGUGCUUUUCUGACCCUGAGUAUGCAUUGGAGCCCGUGGAGAAACUUCGGAGGAGCGAGCGGGUUCGGGUCGAUGUGUUCAUGUGGCUAACGAGGUUGGGGCGGCUUGCAGCGGUCUGGCUGCUUGCGCUGUCGGCAGAAGUCGGCUUGGCGGUUGCUAUCGUGGGAAGAAGUGGGAAGGAGAAGGCGGUCCAUCGGAGCGCGCCAGUCGCAUUACCUGAGAAGACGAAGCAUGUUUGUUGUAGUCGCUGGUGCUUCUUCUGGAGGUUUUCGGUAGUUCGUAUGUGCCGGCUGCUGGGAGAGGUGUCACGGCGCUUGUCUGGCAAUAAGAGCUUGUAACCGCUUUGCACCGUCUACAGAACGCUUGCAACUGUCGGUGUCGAGCCUCUUGUGCGUGUAACGAUUGGGCACUUAAGCCCUGCAGUUUUGUUCAUAGUUGUAACGCUACACGCAGUUCGAGCCUCCACCUCUGAUUCCCACUGAACUGCACUCAGGGUAGAUAGCGCGAGAUACAUGCAUACAUACGGAUGCAGCAAUCAUCUAUGAAAAUCGUUCACUACUCACUACCGGCGCUUCCAAGAAGGAAAAACCAUUGCACGGAACAUCACGUUCCCUCACUCAGCAACAGUUUGUUCUUUGAUCUUACGGUGAUCAUACUCCAUACAUGUCAGGCGUUGCUUUCCACUAGGAAAGAGACUACGAUGGUACACGUGUAGACAUUAACGCAGGCGGCUGGCAGAGGUUAAGGCCUGACUUCUGCUCCCGGAGUGUCCGGAUUCAGUGGCCCCCCAUCUUAUGGACGGUGUCGGACGUGAUAACAUCAAGUUGCCAGCUGACCAGGAACUAAGUUGAGGCGCCGUUGAAUCGCUAGAUUUGGUUGGAUGCUGGUGGUGAGUUGCUGAACCGAACGGAUACAUUCUGAAGUCGGAUGGGGUGAACGGAUUAGGGUGCCCCUCUAGCAGGGGAGAGCAGGGAACUGCCUCGGGAAAGGGGGCCCCUGGUGAAGCUAUAUCACCCUGUAACAACAUACAUUAACGCAAUCGGCGUUGCUGCAAGGGAUCGCGAGUUAGAUGUACGGCGUCUAGUUAUGUUUGACUGUAUUGUUCAGGAUAUGCCAAUUUUUUUAUUGUAUAGAUGCGCAACCUAGUGGGAACUGGAUUCCUAACGCAAGUUGAAUUGCCAAUUUCAGCCAUGAACGUCGCAAAACUUACCUCAGGUGCGUUCUCUACCAAUAUUGACACAAGUUGUGAACAUAAAGUGUGAAUACAGUUACCUUGCCCUAUGCUCCCUAAAUCACAACUCUUUCGGUAGUUAAAGCAUCUUGCGUAGCGGCGGCUUCGCCAUUCCUCUCACGAUACCGUUCCACUAAUUUGUUGCAGGCCUGGCCAGCAAGCGAUGUCUCCGGGUGGUGGCUCCUGCCCGCUUCGGAAGAGGUAAAAACGCUGCGCUGUAUUGCUGGUUCGGUUUGGUGGGGUUUUCGGUGUGAAGCCACCGCUUGUGUCUUCUGCAUAGUCUCCCGUCCCGCACAAACGAAAAUUGGCGUCAUGCCUGUCUCCACUUCUGCUUUCACUCUUCAGGUCUAAGCACUCGGGUGGCAGCAUCCGCCUCGCCCGGGGGCCCCGGCGGUGACUUUGACUUUGACCUUUUCACCAUCGGCGCCGGCAGCGGCGGCGUCCGGGGAUCACGCUUCGCCGCCUCCUACGGUGCGUUCUCAUGUGCAGCUAUGCAUGUGCGUGCGUGCGUGUGUGUGCUUGUGUAUGUGCGCGUGAGCCGCCUUUUUUGGGGGUGGUUGUGCGCUGGCCCCGUGCGGCCCCGUGGGAUUCAUGGCCACCCGGCUGGGAAAGGCUCUUUACCUCCCAAGCCACGUCCGGCACGAUCCACUCCGGACUAGCCAGCGGGGUCCCCUUGUGUCCCCUUCUUCCCCUUUGGUUCCCCUGACCGUGUUCCGGACACCAUGUCGCACCGAAAAAACCCGGUGCGUCCCCCUACCUACCGGGACCUCACCCCGCCAUCUGCGGCUUAUUCCCCCCUCAUCCAACCACACUGUCCAAAUACUUCCGGGGGUGUACCCCCGAAGCCUGAUUGCGGAUUUUGUCCGCCUUAAAAAGUCGGACUUAUCAAAAGGGGGAAUCGGAGAUUUUUUCCUAAUCCCUGCUGCUGCUUGCGACCUGGCGUCCCUGAGGUUCCUUGAUGCGUUUCUCUCUCCCUCCCUCCCACCCACCCACCCACCCAUCCGCCUAUUCCUCAGGCGCCAAGGUGGCGGUGUGUGAGCUGCCCUUCGAUUACGUGAGCUCCGAAACUCGUGGGGGUGUGGGCGGUACCUGUGUGCUGCGUGGCUGUGUGCCCAAGAAGCUCAUGGUGUAUGCCUCCGAGUACGCGGACGACUUCCGGCACGCGGCGGGAUUCGGGUGGGGGUGGCUGUGGGGGUGGGGGUGGUUCGCAUGCGGGUCCUGAGGUUCCCAUGGGCCCUACGUGAGGGUGGGGAAGGAGGGGGAAUGGGAGGCGAUGGGGCUGGUCUGGGGACUUCAGGCCGGGUUGGGGAGGGCGCGAUAGAUGGCUGGGGUGUGGCUGUGUGCACGUUUGCAGGUAGGGGCAGGUCCGCCUCUACGGAGGCCUACCCUGGGGGAAGCGGCCCCCGAAUGAGUUUCGGAGGCUACCCGGGACAGGAGUGACAGGAGUGACUUUCCUCUCACACUCUCAGGGCCAGUGAGAGGACAGUGAGGUGGCGGCCGCAGCGUGCGACCAUGCAACAGGAACAGGGGAAGGGCCGGGGGAGAGGGCAGAGCAGGGAAAUGCGGGUAGUGGUGGCCGCGACCUGCAACACAUACCCGGGCAUUGUACAUGUUUUGGGGGGGGGUAGGCGGGGUCACCUCACGUCGCCUCGCAUCACCUCAUGUUGGUCCUGUGCCUCGCUACAUGCAUGGAGCUCCGUAACCCCUCCGCCCCCCGACCCCAGCCCACCCCGCACAUCUGGUACACUCUUGCCCUGGCAGCAGCUUCACUCGUUCACGUGGUUCGUCUUACCCCUCAGCCCACCCCGCACAUCUGCGAUACUUGGUUCUUUGGACGUCGGGGAAUUCGUGCUUCCGCUGCCUGUGUACCAUAUCAUCCCUACACGUGAUAUACCGCCCCCCCCCACUAUGUUCAUUUCCUUGCAUAUGAUACCCUCGAUGAUUCCUUUCCGGAGCCUGUUUCCUCACCCCCAUAUCUUGCUCGGUGUGUGUGCGCGCGCGUGUGUGUGUGUGUGCGUGUCCGCUUCCCCCCUCAGUUGGUCGGUUCCCACGGAGGGACUGCAACACAGCUGGACCUCCUUCAUCGAGGCGAAGAGAAAGGAGCUGCAGGUACGGGGACAGGAAAGGGGGGAAAGGCGACGAGGGGGUUGCUUGGGUGGGUGGAAAGACGGGGUAUUAUGUGCAACAAGGGGGGAAGGGGGGAGGGGUAUGUAAAGCGGGUCUAGAGAGAGGGAAAUGGGUGGGGAGUUCAGGGGUGGUAGAAGCGGACCAGGAUGUUAUACACACACGCAAACAUGCACAGCUGCAAGAGAGGAGGGGGCUGAGGCAGAGCGGGUGGGUUGGCUGUGGAUGUGUGUGUGGGGGGGGUUGCCUGGGGUCCGCCCAAGCUGUAAGCCCCCCUUCCACCCUUUCGGCUCGCUUGCUUUGUUUGUCAUUGCCCUCCCUCCCGUCUCACUUCACUCGUUCGUGGUUCGUCUUUCCCUUCCCGCCUCUUUCUCAUACUUCGAUUUCCUCCCCUUUCCCUGUAGCGUCUCAAUAACGCCUACAAGAACACGCUUGGCAAUGCCAAGGUGACUCUGCUCGAGGGUCGGGGUCGAGUGGUGGACCCGCAUACCGUGGAGGUGAGCAGGAGGGGGAGGGGGAGGGGAGGAGGGGGAAAAGGUGGGGGAUUGCAUGUGGUAGCAAUAUCGAGAAGGAAAACAGCUGCCGACACGUCGAUGACCGUUGCCAACUGGAGGGCUAGAGGAAGGAAGGAGAGGGGGAUUCCGAAAAGGAGUAACACCUUAUCAGGUGGCACGGAUGUAUGUAUGUACGUAUGUAGGUAGGUAGGUAUGCAACAGGAGUUACAGGGCCUUGUGCGUUCGAAAAGAGUUAGAGGCAGGUGAAGCGUAAGUGUGUUGGGGGGCCGCCCUAAGUAAGGGGAAGCGGAGCGUUCUUCCUCUCCCGCUCCUCCCGAUCAACUACUUCUUAUAUGUGAUUCCUCCACCCGUCCGUUCAUUCCUUACAUCCUUUUCGCCCCCCCUCUCGCCCCCCCCCCGUCCCCUCUCCUAGGUGGAUGGUAGGCGGUAUAGCGCCAAGAACAUCCUGAUCGCGGUGGGUGGUAAGCCCAGCAAACUGGAUAUCCCCGGGGCGGAGCUGUGCAUCACCUCUGACGAGGCUCUGGAGCUGCCGGAAUGCCCCCGCAAGGUGGGGGGAGCCUGGGGGGGAAAGAGGGAGGAAGAGGGGAAAAAGGAACGACGGAUGACGGGGAGAGGGGAGGGGAAGAGGGAGUAUGCUUAUGUGUGAAGGUUUUUGGGGGAGGAUGUGGGCGGGGGGUUUCGGGCGGGGGGGUAAGUGUGGCCGUGGUAGGGGUGGCUGAUCAGGCGGCCAUCGCCACCAUCCCUCAUAGUAUUGGUACUGCCAACAACUGCCCCACCCCACCUUACAACUAGAGCUUCCUCUUCUGGCAGCCGUUCUCCCACAUAUGCAUGCACCGUACCAUGCAUUGUACCAUGCCCCAUCACUACAUGCCCCAUCACUACAUGCCCCAUCACUACAUGCCUCGCUCACCCGCCGCCGCCUGCCAUCGGACCUCCCAAGAGGAACCUCUCCUCCCUUGCCCCCGCCAUGUGUCCCUUCCUCCGUCCGUCCUUUCCCCCCUUAUCCCCCUCCCCUUCGUCCCCCUCGCAGGUUGCCGUACUGGGAGGUGGCUACAUCGCGGUGGAGUUCAGCGGUAUAUUCGCACGUAUGGGGGCGGAGGUGCACACCGUGUACAGGCAACCACUGCCGCUCCGGGGCUUUGACGGGGAGGUGAGGGGGCUUGGGGGGUAACGGUUGGCGGGGCGGGGCUAUCGGGGUAACCGUGGGGGGGGGCCGGCUGGGGGGAACGGGUAUGGAAGAGCAGGCGCUCCGUUUUCAUUCGUCGGUCUCCCCCUACAAACAAACACAUACCUGUUCCCACACUCUCCCCCUCUUCCCUCUUCCCACCCCACGUCACUCCCCAGGUUCGGAAGUUCGCGGCCGAGCAGUACGCUGCCGCGGGCCUUGUACUGCACCCGGAACUGACCCCGCAGUCGGUUAGUCGACAGUUGGAUGGGCGGUUGAGUCUGGUGGUUGCCCGGAGCGAUGGCAGUACGGAGGUCCUUCAAGAUCUGGAUCAGGUGCUCAUGGCCACGGGUAAGGAACACCCUAGUGUGCCCCCGCCCGGGGGGUAGAAAGGGGGACAGGGGGAGACGGGUUUUCCUUUGGAAGGGUGUAUUAUGGAGGUGUCUGUGAGUCCAGGUGGUGUUUUGUUUGGCUGUGGACCGCAGCGCCGUGAGAACUUCCAGACUACCUUACCUUACCUUUCGUCAUUGAUCGGCGGCAUUUUACCCACAUCACAACGUCCCUGAGCCGCUGAGCAUGGAAUCCAUUAUUUUAUAUCAUACAGCAGCAGCAGAAACAACAGCAAGUAUGUAAUAUCCCGAAUAACAAAUACUUUUGUAGAAUGCUAACAAUACCAAUAGAACGCUAACAGCCACAACAAUGCAAAAGAGGGACGUGACCAAACCUUCCGCCCCUUCCUCCUCUGCCUCCUCCCCUCCCCCUUCUGCUCAGGCCGCGUGCCCAAAACCGAUGGAUUGGGAUUGGCUGAGGCGGGGGUGGAGCUGGGGCCCAAGGGGCAGGUGCUGGUGGACGAGUAUUGCCGUACUGCCGUACCAUCUAUCUGGGCGGUAGGUGACGUCAUCGACCGCAUCCAGCUAACUCCAGGUAUGGAUGACUUGGUUUUAGAGGUGUACGGCAGUUAAUGUAUCCAUACCAUGGCCCAGAAGACACCAAUCCACUCUGUGAAACUCAUUAGGGGAUUGCGGGUUCCACCAGGGUGUACGGAAGAUGGCGGUCACCUUGGCCGCGGCCUCCGCAGCAGCACUGCCGAAGGAGAGCUCUUGCAGCCUCAGGAAGAGGGCACCUCACCUCUUCCCCCCCCCCCCACACACAACCGCACACACACGCACACACACGCACACACACGCGAACAUGUGUUAUAUUGUACCCCACACCACACUCCGGAUGCGCCGUCUUCCUGUUCCCUUCAUUUCCGGCAGCUCCGGGCCGCCGCUCUCUUUUAUGGCCCUCGGUCAGAUAGCGGCCUGGUUCCUGGUCUCAACACCAGCUCGUCCAACCAACCAACCAACCGUCUCCACCACUUGGAACACAUCCUACUUCCUUCUCCACAGAACCGCAGAACUCCUUGCCGGACGACCCCCUUGAGACCGUGCAUAAUGCCGAACAAGAAGCGCCUGUCGUUCUCCCCCUCCUGCACGACCAUUAACCCCGCUAUUAUGCCCACGUAACCGCAUAUCCUGCAUGUUUUGCUUAUUUGCCCGUCUGUCUGUCUGCCUGUCUGUCUGUCUGUCUGUCCGUUUAUCUGUUCAUCGCAGUUGCCCUGAUGGAGGGCAUGGCGGUGGCCAAGUCCGUGGCUCUCAACCAGCUCACCCAGCCCGACUACUGGGCGGUGCCCUCCGCCGUGUUCUCAAACCCCGAGAUCGCGACGGUGGUGAGUGCGAGUGCCGAAUCAGGAAACUCGGUCCAGGGGUGGGUCUAAUAAGAAGACAGGCAGACAUACAUACAGAUGGGUGGAUGUACAUACAGAUGCGAAGAUCGGUAGGAGGCAGACGGAUGAUAUAGACAUGGCCGACAGACUGACGAAAAGUGAUGUGCAGGCUCAACGGAGGGUGAACGGAGAAACAGACAGACGAACCUUGUUUAGCCAGCCAUGCUGCAUCCCCGUUUGGAUGACGUAGUUUUGGCGUGUGUCUAGCUAGGCCUCUGCUGCUGCUGCUGCUUGGCUGUCUGCGUUGCAACCGCCAGUCCCGGCUAGUUGCUUUCCCCGGCGGGGAACACCCCACCCGGCGGAAAGGCAGAGGGGCCGACCCAAAUACCUCUCGGCCGGGGUAGGGUGCCUGUCCAUGUACUGCCCAAGUACUGCCCAAGUACCUACUGCCACCUUGGGCCCCUGUAUAUAUAUAUGUAAUGCAUAUAGACGUACAGUAUGGCCACAGCCACCCCUCCGUUACAUACAGCCCCGCUGGCGUCUUGCUUGCUUUCCUGCAUGUGCGCACAUGCCUCUCCCCCCCCGGCCCUGGCAGCAGCUUCACUCGUUUGUGGUUCGUCCUUCCCCCCCGGCCCCUCCUGGAAGUCGCUGAUGUGGACAGUGUCCUCAGGGGGCAGUUGGACGCCGCCACCUAACAUGCAGACCACUGCUGCCCCUCACCAACAUGCUGCUGCCGGAACUGUAAAGUUUCCGUUAGUAUAUAGUGAUUUUUUUUCUUCCGACUGGCCUUUAUCGCCAAUUUUGUGUGGAUGUGUGAUGCUUGUCCACGUAAAUUGAAGUUUCCUACCCCCAAGUCCUGUUGCCAAGUAUCAUCCACAGAACAUUCUCUCAGGGGUCUUCCUAUCCUCCUCACCUCAUCAGCCUCGCCUCACUUCACCGAUCUCCUUCCCGCCCCGCCCCGGCUCCUGACCUGACCUGACCACCACCACCACCACCACCACCUGCCCCGAAGGGUUACACCGAGGAGGCCGCCUCCGCCCGGUUCGGUGACCUGGACAUCUACACCGCCUCCUUCCGGCCCAUGAGGAACACCGUCAGCGGCAGCCCCCUGAGGACCUUCAUGAAGGUGAGAGAGUGCGGGUGGNNNNNNNNNNNNNNNNNNNNNNNNNNNNNNNNNNNNNNNNNNNNNNNNNNNNNNNNNNNNNNNNNNNNNNNNNNNNNNNNNNNNNNNNNNNNNNNNNNNNNNNNNNNNNNNNNNNNNNNNNNNNNNNNNNNNNNNNNNNNNNNNNNNNNNNNNNNNNNNNNNNNNNNNNNNNNNNNNNNNNNNNNNNNNNNNNNNNNNNNNNNNNNNNNNNNNNNNNNNNNNNNNNNNNNNNNNNNNNNNNNNNNNNNNNNNNNNNNNNNNNNNNNNNNNNNNNNNNNNNNNNNNNNNNNNNNNNNNNNNNNNNNNNNNNNNNNNNNNNNNNNNNNNNNNNNNNNNNNNNNNNNNNNNNNNNNNNNNNNNNNNNNNNNNNNNNNNNNNNNNNNNNNNNNNNNNNNNNNNNNNNNNNNNNNNNNNNNNNNNNNNNNNNNNNNNNNNNNNNNNNNNNNNNNNNNNNNNNNNNNNNNNNNNNNNNNNNNNNNNNNNNNNNNNNNNNNNNNNNNNNNNNNNNNNNNNNNNNNNNNNNNNNNNNNNNNNNNNNNNNNNNNNNNNNNNNNNNNNNNNNNNNNNNNNNNNNNNNNNNNNNNNNNNNNNNNNNNNNNNNNNNNNNNNNNNNNNNNNNNNNNNNNNNNNNNNNNNNNNNNNNNNNNNNNNNNNNNNNNNNNNNNNNNNNNNNNNNNNNNNNNNNNNNNNNNNNNNNNNNNNNNNNNNNNNNNNNNNNNNNNNNNNNNNNNNNNNNNNNNNNNNNNNNGUGGGCGGGUGGAGGGAGUGCGGGUGGGCGGGUGGAGGGAGGGGAGGGGAGGGAGGGAGGGAGGGGGGGAGUGCGGGUGGGCGGGGGGGUCCUAGCCUCUGCACUCUGCGCGUGUGGGAGGUGUGCUGGUGCUUUGCACUGUGCAUCAUCAUCACCAUCACCACCAUCAUAUCAUCAUCAUCGUAUCAUCACCAUCAUCACCAUCAUCAUCACCAUCAUCACCAUCAUCAUCACCAUCAUCAUCACCAUCAUCAUCACCAUCAUCAUCACCAUCAUCAUCACCAUCAUAUCACCAUCAUCACCAUCAUCACCAUCAUCAUCAUCAUCAUCAUCAUCAUCACCACCAUCACCAUACCAUCAGCACCACCAGCAGCACCACCAGCAGCAGCAGCAGCACCACCAUCACCACCAUCACCAUCCCACCGGAUGACCGGGCUCGCGUUCAGGAAAUUGACUGCUGGAUUCGUGAGCCCGAGGGUUUUCUGUUCCGGACCCCCCUUCCCCCCUCCUCUUACCCCUUCUCUUACCCCCUCCUCUUCACCCUCCUCUUCACCCUUCUCUUACCCCCCCUCUUCACCACUCGUUUGUGGUUCGUCUUUCCCCCCUCUUCACCCUCCUCUUACCCCUCCUCUUCCCGUGCUCCCCGCCCCUGAAACGCCCUACUCAUCUCCUCUUCCUCUGUAUCACGCCUGUCUUCGUCUGCCAUGUACGGCAGAUUGUGGUGGAUGCAGCUUCUCAGAAGGUGGUGGGCAUGCACAUGGUUGGGGCCGAGGCGGCGGAAAUUAUGCAGGUGGGGCAUACAGCGAGCGCGACAUUCGUAUAGCGCCUAUUCGUAUGUAUGUAUGUAUGUAUGUAUGUAUGUAUGUAUGUAUGUAUGUAUGUAUGUAUGUAUGUAUGUAUGUAUGCAUGUAUGCAUGGGAACGUUUUUUCCCGGCCCCCAUAUCCUUUUUUGUCCUUCGAGUUUACCUUCAAAAGUAUUGCGUAAUUUCCCCUCCAUCGUUCUCUCCGUGUUCACGAUUUCACUGGCUUCGCAAUGUUGCGAAGUCGAAUCGUACCUUGUACCUUGUACCUCCGGCCCCUCCGGCCCCCACACACCGUCAGCGGUCGUUUUCACUCAGUUCCGGAUCACCCACGGACCCAACACUGCACUGGCCCCCUCCCGCUUCCCAUGUAGGGCUUCGCUGUGGCGGUCAAGGUGGGGGUGACUAAGGCGCAACUGGACAGCGUGGUGGGAAUACAUCCCAGUGCAGCGGAGGAGGUGGGUGCCGUACAUAGGGGGGUGGGGAAACUGCCACGGGUUCGAGCUAUUCAGGGAGUGGGCGUAUGGGGGCAUCCGUGGUGGGUGGAGAAGGGUAGGCAGGUACAGGUGGGGGGUCCAUUGGGUGUACGGCCAAGCAGGUACAGGUGGGGGGUCCAUUGGGUGUACGGCCAAGCAGGUACAGGUGGGGAGUCCAUUGGGUGUACGGCCAAGCAGGUACAGGUGGGGAGUCCAUUGGGUGUACGGCCAAGCAGGUACAGGUGGGGAGUCCAUUGGGUGUACGGCCAAGCAGGUACAGGUGGGGAGUCCAUUGGGUGUACGGCCAAGCAGGUACAGGUGGGGGGUCCAUUGGGUGUACGGCCAAGCAGGUACAGGUGGGGAGUCCAUUGGGUGUACGACCAAGCAGGUACAGGUGGGGGGUCCAUUGGGUGUACGGCCAAGCAGGUACAGGUGGGGGGUCCAUUGGGUGUACGGCCAAGCAGGUACAGGUGGGGAGUCCAUUGGGUGUACGACCAAGCAGGUACAGGUGGGGGGUCCAUUGGGUGUACGACCAAGCAGGUACACCCUGGUGCAGACGUGUUUUUGAGCAUCACGACUUUUGCGGCUGCAUGGGAGUUUGAGAACUGCCUUGCGGCUCGUGGCCCUGGUCAAAUCCUCCUCCGUCCCUUCCACUCCGCAGUCUAUUUCCACUUCACGAUUGCUGCACGCAUACGAGUUCCUCCCGCUCUUCCCCGGCCUUUUCGCAGUGCUGCUUUCCCUGCAGGCCCUUCCCGUAGCCCCCUAUUGGUGCACCCACACCGCUUUCAAAGGCCUGUGCUUGAAGGGAGUCUGGUCAGAUCCCGUUUCUCUCUUCCCGUGUAUCUUAUGUAUCCGUUCUCUCCGACCUCUCUUAAGCUACCUCCCUACCCCUCUGCCCCGCCCUCCUCACCCCCACCCGCUUGCGGCAGUUCGUCACCAUGCGCUCCGUCAGCCGCAAAGUCCGGCGGGAGGUCCCCGCCAACCCAGUGGCACCCGCACCCGCAACUGCCGCAGCGUGAAGGGGGAGAGAGAGAGGGGGGGGGGAGGGAACCCAACCGAUUCCAGCUGCCUCGACGGGAGGAAGCGCACUUCACCCCGCUGAUGCGCCGACCUGCAGAUCUGCAGUGUUUCACUGCUGCUCUGAUUACCCUCUACUGGUCUGCCUGCCCGUGGCCCCUUACGAGGGGUGAAUCGGCCUUAAGAGCGAUGCAGUGCACCGGCUGGCUGGCUGGCUGGCUGCCGGCGACUUGCCAUGCGGGUGUAGGUGGAUGUGGUGCUGUGCUGUGAGGCUUUUCUUGGAUCCUGGCGGCGGCGGCGGCGGCGGUGACUAGAUGGUUCAAUGGUGGCAUUCCCGUCCGGUUGGUGCUCCCGGCCAGUCAGUCAGUCAGUCAGCCUGCUGCCCUCUCAGCCAACCUUAGUUGGGGCUUUUUGAGGAGGAGGAGGGAAGUGGGGUUGGGGUCCUAGGUUUGGGCUGGAUGAGUCUGGAGCGGGCCCCGCCUCCGCCUGGGUGUGCCUGGGUUGCAGCAUAGUGGUCCGUUGGAAGAGAGCGGUUGGGGUUCCGUAGCUCCCGUCAAGUGAUGUGUCGGCAUGGCCGCGGCCUGUGACAUUGAGAGGCAGGAGGACAGACACACGGUCUUCAUCACCUCGUUUUCCUCGUUUGGAAGUUGAAAGGAAAACUGGGUUUUAUUGUGUAUGUGCGCUUGGAUAGUAUGGUCGAUUUGAUUAGGCGUUACUUGCCCGGCUGGUUCGUGAGUUCGAAUCCACACGUGAUUCACAAUUCACAAGCCGCCGCUGGGUGGUGAAGUCUGAGGGAGCGCGGCCUGGUGCGGGUUGGCGUAGAUACGCCUUUCAAUACAGAAGGUUUACAGCUUUUUGCUCUUUUUGCUAUUUUACUGAAUUUUCCUUAACUAUGCAACUGUAAGUCGGAGGAAUGGAUGAUAUGGUGAUGAUAAUGAUAAUGAUAACGAAUAUGAUGUAGGUGCUGCAAGGCGGAGAUUUCAGCGGAGAGCUGAGCAAGGCAUCUGUGUGUGUGUGUCUGUGUGUGUUUUCUUGGGCCGGCAUUACUGGAGAGUAACGCCAUGGCCAGGACUUAUUUUUCCUAUGCUAUCUGUGUAUACGCGUAUUGCUGCGGCAUGGGCAUCUUUACAUGUGUACCAAGUACGACAGGGAUAGGCGGCAGCGGCACGUGGCAGUUUGGCCCAUUGUGAGGAUGUACAGCUGGCGUAUCAGUUUCAUCUUCCUCUGUAGUACGGUAUGCGUACGGCAUAUCCUUGCAAAUCCUCACCCUCCGACGGCUUCUCUAUUCUCCGAAGUUCUCGUGGCCCCGACCGGGUGCCCGACCCAAACACAGCUGUGGAUUGCGGGGGGCUAUAUCAACAAUAUCAUAUCAACAAACGUGGCAGAAAUCUGCUGCUGCGAGGUGAUGGGAUCUGACAUCCUCCUAAUGGCUUUCGCUGAGAUGGGCAGUUGACGAAAAGAGGCGCCCGAAACCCGUACAGACCUCCGUCACGAGCGCCACUAGUACUGCAGGAACUCUCUCCUCGACAAGCACGACGAAGCGGAACCGUGGAACGGACUGCCCCGGGAAAGGGGGCCGCUGGCGAAGUUAACCACCCUGUAACAACAUACAUAAGGCGAUCUCGAAGGCUAUCUGGCAGCAGAGUAACCACAUGAUAGAUGAGGAACUCGUCAGGAGUCGUAGGCGGCAGCUCCCGACGAACAUCGUGAAGAUGUUGAAGAGCCUCCUCCACUGAUCCCGGGCCGUACACCGUCGGCCGAUACGAUAUGUCCCAAAAGCGAAACGGACGGUUUGAAGAACUCGCACUAGGACAGCUUACAGUAGACCUGACGCUGUUCCAUACGUUCAAGCACUGCACGCAGAUGCUCAACGUGUUCAUCGGCGGUCUUCGAAAAGAUCAGAAUAUCGUCCAGAUACACUACCACGAACGGCAAACCCUGCAAGGCUUGAUUCAUGGCAGACUGAAAGACAGCAGGAGCAUUAGUCAGGCCAAAAGGCAUAACUUUAUAUACUGAUAAUGCCCGAAAGGAGUGCGAAACGCGGUACGCUCCACAUCGCUAGGAUUUAACCGUAACUGGUGAUAACCCUGCGUUAAAUCGAGUGAGCUGAAAACCGUCGCACCUCGCAAACGAUCCAACAAAUCAUCUAUCCGAGGCAACGGAAAGCGAUUUUUGAUCGUGAGGCUGUUGACUGCGCGAUAGUCAACACACAUACGUAAAGUGCCAUCGAACAAGACAGGCGCACCAGCAAGCCUAAGCCUAGCCUUUGGUUUGGACAGUCAGUCCUAGCGGACUUUUCACUUCAGCCCGAGUCUUCACUGCGACAUCCGAAGCCGUCCGAAUGGGCUCCUACUGCUACAUGACAAGGGCGAGCUUCGAACUGGAGAACAUGUAGACCUUCAUUCCAUGGUGUUGUUAUUUACAACGGCAUUUAUGCGGUCCUCAGAUCCAUGUACUCCAUGCCGUUUUGGCCGUAGGUGUCCAAUGCGCGGCCGAAAAGGCUUUGGUGUUGGCACGCAGAUCUGUAGUACGCCCACAGAGGUACAUUUAGCUUCCCGUCGGCGCCAAAACCGAACACUCCUUUAGCGAGUUCCCUUCGAAUUACAUACAUACAUACAUACAUUCUCUCAACACACUGGCGUUUACAGGGAUACAGAAGCCACCAGAGCAGGAUUCCUCGCCAGAAAUCCAUAACUCUCAUGUACGUCAGGUGCGUCACCCAAUCUUACAUCAGCUCAACCAAUUUCUCCCAGCAGCUAAGGAACCGAACUUUUGAAAUGACGGGAUGCUUUGCGGCGGGGGAACAAGAUUAACCACCUUGGCAACCACCUUGCGCUUUUUCAGCUCCCUUACAAAUACCUCGCUAUUCGCAAAUUGCAAUACACGCCAGUCAGUGCCAGCCCGUGCGAAACGAAAUGUCAGCAAAAAAAACUGCUACCGGGGAAACCUCACCACGUCGUCGUCGCACCACCACAAAACCCAAGUGAACCUUACCGGAGCGCCAAAAGACGUGUACGCCACACAAAUACGAAAUUAAACAGCUAAUUCUCCUUUUCCCCCCACCCACACCCACCCACACCCGCAUGCGCUUCCAUCAGCACUGCGGCGCCUUUCCGACGACGCACCACCAGAACCAACCUCCGGUAACACCAACCGCUGUGCUUAACGCCGCCGCCGUUGUCGACAGCAGACGAAAAAAUGUGGUGGUAUGUGCUAUGCAGACCGAAGCCGUGUUUAAAGCUAGGGAAACUGUGAAUGCGCGGUGUACCGGGACGGGGGUCAUUUUGGCACCCAUUUUGGUGAUUUAAGGACAAAUGACAAUAAAUUAAGUUAUUGUAACAAUAUCUGAUGUCGCCAAGGAGAGCCAGCAGCACCAGCCGCAGCACCAGCCGCAGCACUAGCCGCAGCACUAGCCGAUAAUUAACCCGGCUGACAUGAUGUAUACAUGCACCUUGGGCGGUACAGGCAAAAGCAUAAUGAGAGUCGCGCACACUCACGGGAGGCAGACACUUGGAUAUUUAACACGCGCCACAACACCGCCUUGCCGCAUUCGCGCCACAUGCACACACGCACGGAUCGCAGACAUGUGGCAGGCAAAUCCCCACACCUCCAGCCUCCGGACCGAGCUCAGUUCAGGACGAGUCGCGCGGACAAAAAACUGAUGUGUCGUGAAAAGCCACAAAAAGCUAGCUACGGGUCACUACCAAGUUCAUCAUUUCACCCAUAAUGGCGAUGUUCGUAAGUCGAAAAGCACGUUCCCCCUUGAGCUGCCACGUAAAGCAUUAGGCGCGAUUACACCAGGAAACGCAGGCAUGACAACCCGAGCGAUGCAAUCUUUUAUACCCCCCCGAAUAAUAAACUCUGCAAGCCUCCGAAGGCCUCUCCCCAUCACGACCUAGGACAUUUACUCAAAACCACAAACCAGCAUCUGCCUCCAUGCCAGCACACGACCGUGCGCAAUUUGCUCUGCUAAAUCAUUCAGAGCACACAAAAGCACCUGUUACUACUUAAUAAAAAAACUUGAAAAACAGUGCAUGGAAAGAAGGUUGCGAGCAUGAAUGAAAUCUGGCACAUUUCCAGACACAUCGCAAACAACCAGGCAGCGAGCCCAAACACGCGGGCGCGGUCAGCUAGCGAAAGGUCACUCAACCCGCUCACGUGAGGGAGGCGGUGGGUGACUGGAACCGGUGGUCCUCGGUGCCCUCUGAGCCCAAGGAUCAACAUGCACAGGAGGUGAGGUGAGGUGAGGUGAGGUGAGGUGAGGUGAGGUGAGGUGAGGUGAGGUGAGGUGAGGUGAGGUGAGGUGAGGUGAGGUGAGGUGAGGCGAGGUGAGGUGAGGUGAGGUGAGGCGAGGUGAGGUGAGGUGAGCCAUGCUGCGGCGACGGGGGGGCAACACGGGACCAAAUUUGACGUGGCGCAAGCCACAACAUAAAUGAGCUGAGCUGUACAGCGUUUUACGCGCUUCAGCAAAUUUUCAAAGAGGCACAGUAAGUGCAUUUUUAAUGGUACGGUAAACACAGCUGUCUGCCACCGCCAUUAGCGGACCGAACGCUAGCGAAUCUCAAAAGCAAAAUCAAAAAAUCAAGCGCCGUUUCAGCGCCGUUUACUGUCAUCAAGCGGCUUCGCAGGUACUUGCUGCCCUCACCCCACGCGCCCUUCAAUCAAGCAUUUCCCACCACCAUCACCACCUUAUCACCACACCGCUCGCACCACACCCCGCUCUUCCCAAACUCUUCUCAAAACAUGAAACCCACGCGCAGCAAAAUGCCGUCCAGGACCUUCAAUUCAAUUCGCUUUUCAAUUCCGUGGCACCCUUUCAUCUCCACGACGAUGAUGAUGACGUGCGCAGUACGUGUACACCAACACAAGGUUCAACCUUGUGUGUUGAGGUUUCGGAUCUGAGACCGCACACGGCGUCAAACAGCAGCCGGAGGGGUUCUGUGCAGGAAUAUGCCGCUGGGGAGGACCAGGACCCGCUGAUUGCGCUAGCUGGUAGGGCCUAGUGCGGCUGGAUGAACAGCCGCUGUUAUCUUCUAGCUAUUAGGUUGUGGCAUCAACACAGAAUCAGAAUUCCUCGUGCACAGCUGCCAUCGUCAUUUGCUAGCGUGUGUGCAUACCCCCCAUAGUCUUCGCCGGGGACCAGGACCAGGGCCGCGCGUACACUCGACACAAAUGUGCUUUUUUGCUUUGCUACAUUUUUGUAAGGUAGGCAUGCACAAAGACAGGUAAGCAGGAGCUUAGCAAUGCAUGUAAGGUUAAUGCAAUAGCUGCUUCAGGGCAUCUCAUCAUAUGCAAGUACAUUCCCACCAACAAGAAGCUCUCGAACCGCACCGCAAAGUUUCGGUUAGAGGGCCCUCUAAUGAAUAUGAUUCAUGAGGUCAUGAGGUCAUGGAAAGCCCGGCCCCUGCCCAACACAAAACCAACAGGUCCACCACCCAGCCGGCUAAAGGCACACCCAAUCGCCGCCAAAAUCCCAGCAGUGUACGACACCUCCGACGUCCGUACACAGCCUGCCGGCACUACUACCAAAAUCUAAAAAAGGAUUUCAUAAAGAAGCUCCUAAACCACCUGCUGCCGCCACUCUAUCGAUUUUCGUGAGACUCUAUAGAAAUAAAAAAAUAAAGGGGCGUCAUUAAAGGGAAACACUACCACCAUUACCAAUACCACCACCACCACUACCAAACUAUCACCACUAUCACUACUACUAUCACUUCUACUAUCACUACCACUACCACUACCAUUACCACUACCAACAACAGCUUCUUCUUCCCGGCCGAGAGCGCCCCAGGACGACUCGUCGGGCUCCUGGCCGGCCUGGUCCUGAGCGCGUGCUCUUUGAGGUUGUUUCUGUACUACUUUCUGCCCCUAGUACGAACCCCCCGAGUGCGACUUCGUAACACUGUUAGGUGACCAGCGGACCUAGAGCCCGUUCAGCUGUAACGCUACCCCCGGUAGGUGGGGAACGCUGCUGCUUAGUGCCGGCCGUCGUAACUCCUCGUUACGACCCGGCGGCGGACCCGGCGGCGGAAUGCACGAGACUAACCAGCCGUGUGCAUCUGGGGGCCCCCGUGCUGUGUUUCGGCCCUUUCGGCCCUGAGCCCCCUGAGGCUUUUGAGCCCACAGUGUAAUCAACGUCAUACAUAUAUGCAUACAAACAAACAAGCAUACAUACAUACAUACAUACAUACAUACAUACAUACAUGCAUACAUGCAUGCAUACAAAUGGACAAACGAACAAACAAACAUACAGGCACACUAUGCUAGACGGGGGACCGACCACACCAUGACCAAGGUCCGGGCAAUUUGCCAAACCCACCAAACCACCCACCACGCGAAAUAAACCGCCCCGCUCAAGUAGCUCACCACCAGCAAAAAAAACAAAUAACAAAGCUAGGAAGCCUGGCGCCGCUUUCCCUAGCAAGCAACUCUAUAGAAUGCAAUGGCGUUGCGUUGCGUUAUGCUGCAGCUCUGGGCCUCUGUGAAGAUGGCGCCCUCGAACAGCGGAGAGCCGAAAGGGCGGCAGGGGAAGGCGCUGGCGUUUGAAUCUCGGGAAGCGAAGGAAUCGCGUUGGCAAGCUCGUACAUGCUCGUACUAUAUACUCGUACUCCCAGCUAUACACAUGUGCUGCGAGUGUAGCAUCUAGCAUCUAGCCAGCAGCCUUCCCGGCCUUCACAUCAACCCCCACGGGGAUCAGAUCACGCAAGCAGAGGAGACCACAACGCAAUCGCUGGGUCAUGAAGACCAAGACGCCACAAAAUGAUCCAAGAUCGCAAACCAGAACGCGCAAAAGUAAGUCAGUCAGUCAGUCAGUCAGUCAGUCAGUCAGUCAGUCAACUAUGGCAUACGACAAUGCUGUGCUGUGCUGUGGUGUGCGGGAGAUGCCGCCGCCACGGCAAAACGUCCGACGAUAUGGCACCGAAGGCUCUUUACGAAUGGCUUUCGGAGAUUUUACGAAUGUAGUGUAAUGUACUAUGCAUAGAGCCGUCACCUAUGCAACUACAUCAUCUCCACCUCAAAUGUCAUCUCGACAUGAAUCUGGAGAUCUGGAGAACUGCCUCAAUCAGCUCUCAAUCCAAAAAUCUAAAUCCAAAAUCUAAUGUCACCCUACUGAUGGUGACAGACUGUACACUUCCUGGGCCGCCGCACUGGCGCUGCCGCCGAAAUGAUGCGAAGCAGUGUUGCUAAAGCGCGCCUGUACGACAGCGCGUUGCGUCCGUACAGAUACAGAUCCAGACUCUAGGGAUAGCCUGCACGGGCCGCGCCCACCACCUAGCUCCGGGGCGGCGGGGACCCCCGGGGCCGUUGACCAGGGGGUUCCCGCGCCUCGUCCAGCACCCGCGUAAGGCCCCGCCACCCCCCGGGCCGAUGCCCGGAGUGCGUUCGGCCCCUGGCCCCGACCGCUGACUGACCUGUACGACCUGUCGGCGCCGUCGGUGCCCUCUCCGCCGUACCUGCUUGACGUGCCCUCCUCACCACCCAACGACGCGGCGGCGGCGGCGGCGGCGGCCGCAGAAGUGCCGUCAACAGUCGACGCUCGCCGGGUCCUAAAGGCGCCGCGCCGCGAAUGAGGCAGCAGCAACCCGCGACAAUCCGGCCUGUACGACGGCUUCACCGGCGGCGGCAGCGUCCCCGCCGGCGGAUGUGGCUGCUGCAUCGCCAUGACGACGUCGUCUAUCGGCGGUUCGCUGAAGCGCCCGCCCCCGGAGGCCGUGGUGGCCGUGGUGGCCUGGUCGAACAUCCUGUAUAGAACAGUAAAAAGCCAUUGGGGGGCCAUUGCGAUGCGAUGCGAGCCGACGAGAUGUGCGGGUUGGGUUAAGCGCAGGGAAUGCACCAGCCCACUUUUGCGUCGCAGCAGACUAAAGAAGCAAUCCUUCGCCUCCCCCCGGGGAGAUCUUCGCUGCAGCAUUUGCUUGCUACACAGCUACACAGCUAUACAGCUACACAGUCCCGGUCUCCACCCGGGGGGGUCCGUUAAAAGGAUCGGCGACCUUUCCGCCACAUUCCCUCAUCCGCUAGCCGCCGCCGCCGCUGCCGGCCCCCCACCGUCCCCCCCCACUGUCCCCCCCCACCCGCAGAUGUAAGCCCUCGUAAGGCCCUUCCUCCGGGCGCACAGUCCCGAGCUCUCAGCCGGCGUAAAGGUGAGGAGCUGAAGAAGCCGCGGCCCCGGGCUUGCUGAGGGCCCGACUGGGCCCCGACAAACCCGUACAUCCAGGCUGCCGCCGCCGCCACCGCAGCGCCCCAGCUCCGGCGCCUCCGCCUCCUCCUCCAAGGUCAAGGCCCACAGCUGCUCCGCCAUCGCCUCGUUCCGAGUGGCCUCGUCGCACAUCACCUGCCCCGCCGCCGCCGCCGCCGCCAGCUUGGCGGCCGCCGCCACUGGCCUGCCCUGGUAGCCGAGUGCGUGUGUGCAGUCCUGGAUGCUCCACUCCGCGGCACCCGUCGCAAUGCCCACUCGCAAUCUGUUGGAAGCGGCGAGGCGAGUGUCUAUGUGUAUGUAUGUGUGCAUGCGUGUGUGUAUGUGUGGUGUUGUACAUUUUGCUACACGUUAAUCAUUUUCAUCAGCAUCAGCAUCAGCAUCAUCGACACCACGAGCUAUUCCCCAUCCCCCACUCUACCUUGGUAGUACAGUACAGCAAAGUACGGUACAGAAAAGUACAGUGCGUUGCAGUGCAGCAGAGCGGCAACAACACACACACAGACACAGACACACAGGCACACACACACAGACACAAACAGACACACGCACACACAGAGGCACACGCGCACCUGAGGCCCCUCAACAGCACGAUGGGUGUCAAACCCGACAUCGCCGAAGUGGAGGAGGAGCAGCCCUCCCCCCCACCCGGGGCCGUCGUGAAGGGCACCCCCUCCCCGCCGCCGCCGCCGCCGCCGCCGCCGUCACAGCCAUCACCGCCGCCUGAGGCUGGUAGCGGGACUGCGGCUGCCGCUGCCGUGGCCUUGCCGUCGGUGGACAUCCGUACAGCUGCCGUACCUGAUCCGGAGAUGCGAGACCAGGGCAUCCGCCGCCCUCGAGUAGAGGUCUGAAAGGGGAGCAGCAGCAGCAGCAGCAGGAGGAGGGGGAGGGGGAGGGAAAGACCAACCACAAACGAGUGAGGGGAGGGGGAGGGGGGAAAGACGAACCACAAACGAGUGAAGCUGCUGCCAGGGCAAUAGUGGAGGGCAAGGAGGGGGACCGGGGGGCCCAGGGGGUUGGAGCCCAACCUGACUGAGGGGGUGAUUGAGGGUGAAUGUCAAUGGGGAGUGGUUGCUACCGGCUUGGCUGCCUUCCCUUACGUCGCCCGCGAGCCCACCGUAAAAACUUAGNNNNNNNNNNNNNNNNNNNNNNNNNNNNNNNNNNNNNNNNNNNNNNNNNNUGCCGCCGCUGCCGCUGCCGGAGCCGGGUUGCGACCAAGCGGAGGGUAGCCGAGAGAAACGCCAACUUCACGUGCUGCUGCCGCCACUGCCGCCGCCGUCAGAGAGGUAGCACGUGCUGUGUCCGACGACAUGCAGGUCUGCAUAGCGUUGUCUCCGUUGUCCGUCGUACCACCCACGCCGGCGGCGGCUGCGGCGGCGCCGUCGCAGCCGAAGCUGCGGCCGCCCAAACCGGACGAGCUGCUGGCGGAAAUGGGCCGAAGGCAUGAAGCAGCUGCAGUGCUCAGAAUGGAGCCUGACGGAUGACGUAAUGGACGAGCGCUGCAGGUAGCUGCCAGGUGGCAAUGGUGUCGCCUUGCGACGCUGCCGUCGCCGCUGCUGCUGGCGGCAGCUAGCUGAGUUGUUGUCGCCGUACCAUUUCUCAAAGCCGGUACAUCGCUCUUGCAAUACUCGCCGUUAGACGCUGCUGGCGUCUCCGCCUCGCCGCCGGCACAAGCAGCGGCGGAGGCGGCGGAGGCGGCAGUGAUGGAGGUGGCGGCGGCGGCAGUGACGGAGGCGGCGGAGGCGGCAGCCACAGACGGUCCCUUCUGGGAGAUAAGGCCCCGCCUGGAGCGGCCCUCCUGCCGACGCAUCAUGAGGAAGGCCGCAAAGCUGCCGCCGCUAGCAGCGCGUACAACAGCUCUGCCGCAGCCGCUGGUGCCGCCGACGGAGCCGUCGCCAGCUCGGCGUGUCGUACAGUUACCGUCGUUGCUGCUGCCGUUACUAUCGUUAUUGUGGUUGUUACUGUUGUUCGUGGUGAUGAUGCUCUGGUUGCCGCAGGGGCCGUUGGCGCUGUUUGCGGCGGCGGCCGCGGCGGCGGCGGCGGCGGCGGCCGCCGCCGUCACCCAAAGAUGCUGUUGUGAUGACGACAGCGAUGUCUGCGGCACAUCGUCGGCGGCUGGAGGGUCCGGAUAGAAGCAGGCAUUCAAGCUGCGCCGCCGCGCCCGUUUGACGCCAUGAACGGAACCCGCUAUCGACGUGUCGAAGUACGGCCCCGAGGCCUCAACCACCUCGCACAGCUCGUGGGUUAGGAGCUCCUACCCAACCGCCAAUCGCCAACGGUCAACCCCAUCAUAGCGUACAGGCGCAUAAGAAAUGGCCGGGGGGAUCAGAUCGCGGUCAGAUCGGAUCAGAACAUUUUUCGGGAUUCAACCUGAGUCCAGAUCCAGAUCCUUUUCGGGCUGGGUUUUAGGUGUCGUACAUUUCUGCGGAUUCCGCCCUCCCCCAAUUUCCUCAAACAGUCAUUCCUGUAUCCUCGUAUCCAAGUUUUUACGGCCAGUGCACGAAGGCGUGUGUGGUGUGUGCUGAGGAGUUCGAGAGAGCGAGCUUACUGAACAAAUAAUUAUAUUACAUACAUACAUACAUACAUACAUACAUACAUACAUACAUACAUACGGAACAAAAACUUACCGGCGGCCAAGGUGCAUUGAGCAGAUCCCGCCGCAACCCCGUCGCCCAGUGUACGGCGGCCGCCGCCGUCGUAAAUACGACACAAACCUGUCCCUGUUCCAAACAACCUCCACCACCGCAGUGCACCUGCACCAAACCGCAGCGCGGCGGUUAUGGUGGUUGUGGUGGUUGUGGUGGUUGUGGUGGGGUUGGGAGGAUGUCGCAGGGAGCGCGAGUGCGAGUUGGGGUGAGGGGCGGGAGGGAGGGAGGAGGGAGGGAGGAGGGAGGGAGGGAGGGAGGAGGGAGGGAGGAGGGAGGGGGGGAGGAGGGAGGGGUGUCCAUAGGAGCAAUAGAGGAUAGGCGGGCAGGGGAAGGGGAUAUGGGCAUAUAUUCACGUGUCAGGAGGAAAGAAAAGCGGUGGUACGGCGAUACGGCGGUACGGCGGUAACCCUAUGCGAGAGGCCAAGGUUAAGGUAAGCGGAGACCCGGGGGGUACGGGGGUAGAAGGUUAAGGAAACCCAAACUAGGCUGGAUGGAGGGGGCAUGGGGGCUGCGACGUAGUAUAUCCUUACAAGCCGCAAUACUUGCAUGGCAAUGCAUGUGGCGGCAGGGGUGUUUAAAACCACAAUCCAAUGUGGCCUUUCGUACAUUAUGCCGUACCCUGUAGCCGAUGCCGUAUACGUUAACUCGCUGCAGCUGUGCUGCAACCGCCUCCUCCAACAGCCGCAGCGCCGCCUCCGUCACCGUACGAUUCCAUGCCAGCAGCACGUCCACCGCAGGAAUCUGUGCGACAACGUACGACACACGUCCUGCCGGCGCAUUGUACACGUCGCGCAGGGCUGUCACCCCCGUCGGCACGCGCAACGGCGGCAGCAGCGCUAGUCGCGGGGACAAGGUAGGGCUCGUGACCCAGUACACGUUGCGCAAUUCUCUUGCCGAUGGCGCCGCCGCCGCUGCGGCCGCCGCCGCUGCAGCCUUGGCGCCGUUGUUGCUCUUCGAAGCUGUCUGUGACGUGUCCGCCGUACUGAGGAGCAGCAAGCCUCCGCUGCUCAGUGGCCGUGACUGUGACGGCGGCGAGAGCUCCGCCGCCGCCGCCGCUGUCGUCGCCGCCGCAGCGGCGGCGGCAGCCUCCGAUGUGGCGACUUCCCCGCUGCUCGUCACAAGCCAACCCGACGACGAGGUAGCGGGCACGAAACCACCAGAGGCCGCCGCCGCCGCCGCCGCCGGCGACCCUGUUGCCUUAUGGCGGUCUCGCGCGGCGGCGGCGGCGGCGGCGGCGGCAUGGCACGAAGUACUUGCUAGACUGGUCGAGCGCUGCUGCUGCUGCGGCUGCUGCUGUGUGCUGACGGGCCGGGGCAGUGCGUAGGUCCCCAGGUGCAGAAUCUGACACGGCAGUGCCGAGGAGGUGGUAGCGGUGGGGCAGCGGCGGCGUGGGCAGCGGGGACGGGUGAAAGACUCGUAGAUACUUUAAAGCUUCUUCGCUAGCAAGAGAAUGACACCCAGUGUGUGUGUAUGUGUGUGUGUAUGUGUGUGUGUGUUGGAUGUGUAUGGGGUGGGGCGGGGGGCCCGGGGGGCGGGGAGCGGGGGAAACAACACAAGGAAAAACACACCGGCACGUUAAAAUCAAAAUUAACUUCGCCCAGUUACACGGAGGAGAUGCAGGGUGCGGCUCAACCGAGCGAGUACAGCCGUCGUACAGCUGUCACGCAGCGGUUAAGUGUCGUAUAGCUGUCGUACACACAUACCAUGGUGCCGCUAGGCUUGCCGCUGCUCCCCGCCCCGCCACAUUCCACAUCCAGCCGCUCCUUAGCGGUCCCGCACAGGACCACCUGACCGCCGUGCGCCAUGUCCGCCACCGCCUUGCAAGCAGCCACGCACGGCCCGCCGUACACCAUGCGUGCGGCAGCGGCGUUGUACUGCAGCUCCGAAGCAGAGGGCACCGCCCACGUGAUGCCCACUCGUACACGCAGGCCCCUGGGUGCGGGUUUUACCCCCCAAAACAACCCCCGGGUGUAUAUGUAUGUACGUAUGUAUAUGCGUGAGAAGCAGUUCGGGCCCACACCAGGGUUCGACACCCCGUACGGGGCCCGUAAGUUUUUGGCCUUUUUUCGGUAUCCCCGUACGGGCCCGUAGGACUUUACGGUGGCCCCCGUAAGGAUUUUGGGGCGCGAAGCGCCCCGUACGGGGCCGCCCCCGGACCGGCCGAAGGCCGGUUACGGGGGCUCCCGUAAGGAAUUUAAGGAUUUAUAAGAGGCCGUACGGGGCGGCAACACAGACGGCAUGCGUUGAGCGCGGAUUUAGCCGGCAUCGUAUUAUAAAGAAUCGCCUGACGAACCGGCUAAAGCUGGAAACGGUUGAUUCGCUACUUCGUGUGGGGAUGUUGGGACCUGCUGCUGAUACCGGGGCGAAGCCACUGAUUGAUCAGGCUGCUGAGAGUUGUACGAGGAUAAAACGGCACUUACGGCAGCUGAUAUGCUUAGCGAUAGAAAUAGCGGUAAAUUUGAUAUUGUUCAGUAUACCAAGGUACUAUGAUUACGAGUCAGAUUAAAUCAAAAACUUUCCUACUCGCGUAAGGGCUAUACAGGCAUUAUUCACAAGUUGUUUUCUGACGUUAGCAAAAUUAAUUUGAAGCCAUACGGAGAGGAUGAUAAUGAGGAGGUUGCGACUGACCCAGAGAUUGAAGUACUGGUACAAGCAACAUACCCCGCUAGUGACAAUGAGGCUUUUAGUGACAGUGACUACGAGACCGACGUAGAACGAGAUACCGAUGAGUCGUCCGUGGAUGAGGAUUUUGAUGAUGAUGAGGAGGACGAGAAAGAGGAGCAGAAGGGAUGGGCGGCCGCGGCGGCCAAGGCGCUUGGCUUUCACUGAGUGUGCCGUGUCCCCGAGUGUCAUGGUUCACGAGAAAAUAACGAAAACAACGAUUUACAGGGCAAAAAAAUGCAAAGCGUCACUUUCCACAGCGUUUCAACCAAGGACAGUGCCCCCGUAAAGGUUUUGCGGGGGUUACGGGGGCCCCCCUAAGGUUUUCGGCCGGUACAGGAGCCUGGUACGGGGGCCCCUCCGUAAGGAAAAUUUGGGAGGUACGGGGGAGCCCGCAAGUUUCAGGAAGGUCAGUGUCGAACCCUGGCCCACACAAUUUAGGGGAAAGGCCAAGAAGAAGAAAGAGGGAGGUAGGGGGAUGGGGGGGUAGGGGGAUGGGGGGGUAGGGGGAUGGGGGGGUAGGCAGGGGGAGGAGGGGGUCCGUCUGGAGCACCCGGCGGAUGGUGGAGGCGGCUUGCGGGUGGUGGCUAAUGGAGAGGGGUAUCGUGUACGGCAGCCUCGCAUACCGGCUGGCUGGCUGCGGGAAGGCGGGGUGAAGGAGUACGGGAGGGCGGGAGGUGUAGAGCGCCCGGCGGAGGGGUUGGGUUGGGGGGGACGGGGGGAGGACAAUCCCCUCAGCGUUGGUGGACCUUUCCCCUCCAUACACCCCUCUUACACACUGGCCAGCGUUAGGCCCAGAUCGAUAUAUACAUACAUACAUACAUACAUACAUACAUACAUACAUACAUACAUACAUACAUACAUACAUACAUACAUACAUACAUACAUACAUACAUACAUACAUACAUACAUGCAUACAUACAUACAUACAUACAUACAUACAUACAUACAUACAUACAUACAGAGGCAGGCGGCUGGCAGAAGUUAAGGCCUGACUUCUGCUCCCAGUCGAUCCAGUCGACCCGGGUUCAAAUCCGCCUGCCAGCUCCUCGGGUGUUUGAGGAGUGAUGAAAUGGGAGGUGGCCCCCCAUCAUAUGGACGGUGUAGGACGUGAUAAUAUCAACUUGCGAGCUGACCAGGAACUAAGUUGAUGCGCCGUUGAUCCGCUAGAUUUGGUUGGAUGCUGGUGGUGAGUUGCCGAACCCAACGAAUACAUUCUGAAGUCGGAUGGGGUGACGGAUUAGGGUGCCCCUCUAGCAGGGGAGAGCAGGGACUGCCCCGGGAAAGGGGGCCGCUGGCGAAGUUAACCACCCUGUAACAACAUACAUACAUACACACACAUACAUACAUACAUACAUACAUACAUACAUACAUACAUACAUACAUACAUACAUACAUACAUACAUACAUACAUACAUACAUACAUACACACACACCUGAAAAUGGGUCCGGAUGCCGAUGCCUUGUACAGCCCUGCAGCAGCCGUUAAAGACGACCCAGGCAAAGUCGCCGCCGCCCCAGCCGACAUCGACGAAAACAACGACAACGGCGGCGGCGGCCCUGCUACAGCUCCGGCUGCUGCCGACACGGCCGUAGCCGGCGCCGAUGCAGGCACGCAGCCCCGUACACUCCCACAGCGCGCCGUCAUCGCCGCCCUUCGCAGCAACUGCCCCAACGUCUGGCUCGGCUCCGCGGGGCUAAGCAGGCCGCCGCCGCCGCCGCCGCCGCCAGCCAUCCCGCGGUCCCGCGACCAUGCAGAAGGCGGCCCUGGUGACAUUGCCGUAGACGCCGACGCUGUCGUCGCGCCGGCGACGCCUCCAGCGGCAGCAGCCCCGCCGGCGGGGCCGUCGAGCUCCGGGUCGUUGUCUGACGCCGUACUGGCGAAGGCCACGGAGAAGCGGUGGCGGCCUUCGGCAGCGGCGGCGGCGGCGGCGGGAGACAGGACUUGGGAGGGCGCGCUGGGACUGCACUGCAGAUUGUCCACGUCGGCAUCGGCGUCGACGUCGACGUCAACCGUGAUCCUGUCGUCAAGCAUUACCGCCACUGACGGAGACGUCGGCUCGCCCAGUGUACGCCAUCUAGUCGCCGCCGCGGAGGCGGGGCCGCCACCGGAGGGCAGCCGCUGAUGAUACGACCGCCGUGGCGGCGGCGGCGGCGGCGGCGGCGGCGCCGUCGUCAUCGUCGUCGUCGGUCCCGCUAGAGGACCCCUCCAAAAGCACGGUGCCGGAGCGGAGGCGGGCUUAUAGGCACAAGCGUUAUGGAGCAGCGGCGGCGGCGGCGGCGGCUUCCGAAAGCACGGUACGGAGGGCGUGCUUCGCUGCAGCAGCAGGCGAUCCGCUUCCGUCGCCGCCAGGUCGUUAUCUUGGCACCGGGACAAGAUUGAACCUCCCAACGGGUCCGCCGCCGACAAACUCACCGACUGUCGCGGCAGCGGUAGCGGCAGCGGCGGUGACGGCGGCGGCAGUGGCGGUGACGGCGGCGGCGGGAACACCGCCGCCGCUGGCUGCGGCCACUGCGUCACGUACGUNNNNNNNNNNNNNNNNNNNNNNNNNNNNNNNNNNNNNNNNNNNNNNNNNNCCGUGGCCGGGUCCGGGCCGGGGCCAGCGGCCCGGGCGUCGCCUCUGCUGCUGCUGCUGAUGCGUACGGCAUGAUUAGAGCAAGACGGCGCACGGGUCGGAGCGAUAGCAGGGCCCAGAAGGUCUGGCGGCAGGGAGGUGAGGCUCAGCGCGGCUGGCGGCGGAGAUCCGGCCCCGCCGCCGCCGGCGGCGGCUCCGCCGGCGGCGGCGGCGGCGGCGGCGGCAGCGUCGCUCAUACCUUUGGGGCCCGGAAAAGAAACCGUGACCGUUGUUUCUGUUUUUCCAGCAUCGUCGGUUGUCGGUUGUCGGCCCUUUCGUUGCAUAGGCGAGGACGAAAGCGACGGCCGCGCCAUGGUGCCACCGCAAGAGGCGACGCCAUUGCCGUACAUAUCGUUCAUGCCCGGCUGACGCCCGACAGCCUCACCUCCGCCGCCACCGCCGCCGCCGCCACAGCCGCCAACAACUCCCGUGACAUUACCCUCCCGAGCAUGGGGCUCCGUUUGAGAAAGUAGCGACAUACAAACAGACGACACAUGCACAUGCUGUACAACACCGCCGCGAUCGCGACCGCCGACGGAAGUGGUCGGUGCGAAGGUGCCGUACGAGGACGUGUUGUAGCCGCUACCAUUGCAAUCGCCGUAACCAAAGUCGACAUCGCCGCCGCCGUCGGCGCCGCUACCUCGCCGUCCAGGCUCCUCGCCGUCAGCCGUCAACUCGCCGCCGCGACUCCUCCAAUCCACUGGAAUCGUACGGAGGGCCACGGGCCGUACGCGCGGUGCUGCAGCUCCCUGCUCGCUGCUCAAGCUACUGUACGACACGGCACGACUGACGCCUCCGUCGUACCGACUGCCGUCGCCGCCGGUGCGACUGACGCCGCCGCCGCCACCACCGUCGUCGCGAAUGUCCUCUCCCGCCAUGUACGACACCGUCAAGUAAUCCGGCGUCGUCGUCGUCCCCGCUGCCGCCGCAUCGCCACCGCCGCCAGGGCUGCUGCCGUAUACAGCCCUGCCCGACGCCGCCAGCGCCCGCAGCCACCUGGGAGCUCCGCCCGACGGCGGCCCUACCGCCCGCCAGCCCAGUGUCGUCGUACUGCUGCAAUUCUGGCGGCCAGAAGGGCGCACGCUGGCUCCGGCACUGACGCUGCUCCCUUGCUGAUGUUGCACCUGCGGCUGCUGCGGCUGCUGCGGCUUUCUGACAGUCCUAGCUGAGCGGGAGCGGAAGAGCGCCGCGACGGUGCCGUACCGCAGGCUGCGUUCGGGUCCAAGCCCCAUCCCCGUCCGCGCGUUGAAGGGGAACCCCUCCGGCAGGUCCGUCGACAGCGGGCUGCAGGCCUGUAUGAGGGGGGCAGUGCGGCGGAGGGGGGGGGAGGACCGGAGCUUUGGGGUGAUGGUGGUGGUGAUGGUGGUGGUAAUUAUGGUAAUAAAGAAAUACACAUAACCGGAAUGAAAAAAUAGUACUACAUCACCACUGCACUAAAUUGAUUGAUGGCGAAUGCCUACAUGCAGAACAGAACAGAAAAGCAUUUAACCAACCCUAAACAACUACCAACUAUCAACCAACGGACCUACCGGCUGUUCAAGCAGCAAGUCAGGCCAGGGCUGCACCAGCAGUUGCGCCUGUGGGGGGAAGGGGAGAUUGUGUAUGUGCGCGUGUAUGUGUAUGUAUGUAUAUGUGUGUGUGUGUGAGAGAGACGAACCAUUGACGCUUGAAGCAGAUACCAGAGACCAGUGAUUUUUUUUUCAUUUAGGGGGGGUCUCAAUUUAUUCCAACCUAAGUAACAAAGUUGCUAGCGUCGCCGUUCUGUAUUCCUUAAGAGUGGGGCGCUGGNNNNNNNNNNNNNNNNNNNNNNNNNNNNNNNNNNNNNNNNNNNNNNNNNNCGAUAAAUUACAACUCCCCUCAUAGACCAAGAGGCACGCACUGCGUUGGCGCGUUUUCGUUCAUGUGCGCACGAUCAGGUAGUCGCUCUUCUUCAUCAACGUGCAGGGGAUGCAGCGCACUUGGUCGUGCACUUCUCCGGCGUCCACGUCAGCAUGCACAGGCUGGGCCCAGGGAUACCUGGCGGCCCAGGCAAUCUGCCAUCUGUGGGGAUUUUCCUUCUGCUUGUCCCGCCAUGCACCGUCGCUCAUGCCCUUGCGGAUGCGCUGUGUCUGAGCCCGCUUGGCACUGCGAGCACUCGGGUUGGGCGCCUCGCCGCAUUCGUUGUUGUCAAGCUGAUUGGGUGACAGCUUGCGCUUAUGCUGAUCACAACCGCCAUGGAAGGCAGGGGUAAUGGCGGCAGUGUCAUCGGUCGCCGCUGGCAGCAACAUUGCCGAUGCAUUACCGACAACAGCACCGCCGUCCCAAACGCCUUUAUCAGGAAAAAAUUUAGACUUAUCUUGCUGUUUUUGUGUUUGUUCGGCGUUCAAGUCGUUGCCUUUUGCGUGUUUGUCUAUGGAAGGACCGGUCAUACAUUCUGCUAUGCCGCGUUGACUCACGGGCUUGACCUUCUUACGGCCCCUCAUAUCUAUUUUAUGAUCGAUAAUACUAAGUUCUGCACACUACGGAGCAAUCGGCAGCAAUGGACGUUUUUGGCUGAAGGAAUGAAAAUGUAAGGAUCGGCCUCACUUUGUUCCUUAUUUCCAAAGGCCAAAAAGGCUUCUUUAUUCCUUAAAAGUAAUAUAUUACUUAAAAAAAAAACACUGCCAGAGACAGACACACAGACACGCAUACAGACAGACAGACAGACACACACGCAGACAGACACUCUCAAGGCACCGUUUGCCUCGAAACACCGUGUCGUACACGUGCCUGCAAGUCCAUGGCGAACGCAACCGCUUGCUUCACGGUGAGGAAGGCCAGGAUGAAGGAGUCACCCUGCAGGGGGCCGCGGUGUGGGAGUUGGGGCGGCGGGUGGGGUUUCCGGGUUCUUCAAAAGGGUACCCAAAACGUUCGGGCAAAACGGAAAAACCUCCAAAAUGUUCGGGCCCGAAUCGGGGUGAAGAACACUGGGGGGGGUCCGCUGGGGAAGAGAGACGUCCAUGCCCUGAAGGGUGGGGGUGUUUCAUAUGCAAAGGAAACCAGAAAAAUAAACUGCCGGCAUUGGGAGACGAGAAUUGGUGGUCCUGGAUCCAAAAUGUUAACAAAUAGUGCCAUUAAUUCAUCAAUUUUAUCAUUAUCAAUAAAAUUUAAUUCUCCAUCUUCUGCUAAAUCUGCGCAAGCAAGUGUAAAUAGGGAUGAGAAGGAACUCCACUCCUCCCCAAAACUCACCAAAGCUCAUGAACAGAAUGAGCUCAAAAAGAACACAAAACUCAGAAAAAACGUAAACAAGCCGAGUUCAAAAGACGCGAGCGUUUGUUUUCGUGCGCCAUUCAAACAGACUUUCGAGGUUUUGACGGGAAUGCAAAUGAUGCCGAGAGACAUUCUCUUAUUUAUUAACAGAUAACAGAAAAAACGGAAAGGCAAACAAAAACAUAAACAAAACGGUGCUAAGACAGCACUUCUACAACUCCUCUACAGCACCCCUCUCACCACCACACUACGCUGAUCCUGAUUUGCCCCCCCCACACAAAAACACACACAUUAAUGGUACCCCACCCCACCCCACCCUAGGGCCCCCCUUAACCCCAGCCCCUGCAGUAUCCGUGUCUAUCUAUCUCGGGUAUCUGCUUCAAUCGUCAUUGGUUCGUCUUCUUAACACACACACCCCGGCCCCCGUCGGCUCCUUCAAAACCGCCUACUGGUCAGUUCUGCUUCUCUGCUUUCCUUGCCAGCAGCUUCACUCGGGUUCGUGGCUCGGUUUGCCCCUCCUCCCGCCCUACCUCCCGCCCUACCUCCGUAGCCGACUCGUAGCCCCCGUGCGCCACCAGCAACCGGCGGAUGCAGCCGUGAUGCAGCCGAACCGCAUCGGACAUGACCGCUGCGGGGAGCGCCUCCCAGAGCACAGUGGAGUCCUAAUCAGGAAACAGAGGAGGAGACACAACGGCAGGGGAACAUCGUCAUUAGCUCUUUCACCCUCCCCCGGCCCCCUUCCCCGUCCUCCUGCCCCCCAGCGCCUCCUUUCCCCUCCCCCUCCUUCCGCGCCCUCCUGUUACUCAAAACACAGAGGCGCCCGGCACGUGCACGAGCAAGUGCACACCCCUUCCCCCCACUCAUGCGGCUUUAUGUGAUCGGGAAAUCACAAACAACAUGCACACAAACAACAUGCACACAAACAACAUGCACACAAACGACAUGCACACAAACGACAUGCACACAAACAACAUGCACACAAACAACAUGCACACAAACAACAAAAAAGGAAAGCCGCAGCUCAGCAGCUCAAGAGCCGAAGAGACGCCCGCCACAUGCCGGGGUCACACGUACAUACAUAUUACAUACACAUAUACCGCGCCGCCCAACACGAGCUCCCUACGCCCCCUUUCCCCCUUUCCCCCCCCCCCCCCCUUGUCCGACUACCCUAAGCACUGCACCGGCUUGUCCGUCACCACUGUACGAUACACAGAUCUACAAAACACACACACACAGACACACACACACACAGACACCAACUCAGGCCCAGACGGCCGCCACAUAGAGGCCCAAGCAUACACCCACACGCUCUUCUCCUUCCCAAAGCAGAAAAUCUUUCGCCCGCUCUGCCUCUCUGGAUCCAAAUAAAAAUCCCGAUUCCAUUUUGGAUCCCGAAUUCCCCGCUUUGGAUCCCGAUUCCACCUGUAUGUCCGUCACCACCAGCGCCACGGGCUCCCUGGAGCCCUCCUUGUGGCGCCGCUUCCACUCCCAGACGCCCCCCCGAGACCGCUGCCGCCGCCGCCGCCAUAGCACCGCCCAGGCGCCGCCGCCAGCAAGCGCGCCCACCGCUAAUGUCGACACGACCAGCGCGGGCACCAGCGUCGCCGCGCGGACGCCGCCGCCGCUGCCGCCGGGCCUGGGCGCAGGCGCCGCACCUAUACGCGGACCGUGCUCACACAUACACAGCCAGCAGGGGCACCACCGCUAGUCAUGUGGUGAACCCGAGGGCCUUUUGGAGGGUAAGGCCGCACCUAGAUCGCAGUCAUGGGCCCCUGGCCACACCUCUGGUUUCAAAAUCUCCCUAAGACCCGCAGCAUCAAGGGCUGUCAUCUGAAGGGAGGAGACCGACGCACAGGGCCCUACCAGAAACCCUACUACUGCUAGGCCAAGUAGGGCACGCGGCACAGUACGGGGAAAACAAAGGUACGCGAAGCCGGGGGUUGCGUGGGCGAUCAUGUGUAUGUGUGUAUGUAUGUGUGACAUACGGACGCCUGCCUGGUUCGACCUCGGUCUCACCUCCUGAGCCGGGAUCGAUCGGGGGGCUGCUGGGGUUGGUGGUCAUAGCCAGGGAGGCGAGGUACUUCUCCAGAUAUAUCUGGCGGGAGGGUUGGGGCGGAGAGGGGAGUAGGAGGCGGGCAGGUUGGGGGCGGAGAGGGGAGUAGGAGGCUGGGGGGGGAGGCUGGGGGGGGAGGAGGGAGGGGAGGAGGGAGGCAGAUUCCGUUGGAUGCCGGUGGUGGGGUGCUGAACCUAAGCGAUCCACUGAAAAGUUGACCAGGGUGACUGGAUGAGGGUGCCCAGAAAUACCGGGGAAGGCAGGGUUUCGCCGGGUAGCGGCCACGGGUGAAGAUAUGCCCCCCCUGUCCCACACAUCAUCACUACAGGUUUGAAAAAGGAAAUCAAAAGACCCGCACGAAGCACGGCGGCAGCCGCUAACGGAGAAGAUGCAAAUGCAACGAAGGGUGCAAAGGGCGGUGGAGGGAGAUGGAAAAGAAAGCCGAAGUGCGCACAGCUGAACGGCCGGUCGCAAGCGGCCGUGCAAUGCCGUACCUCUCGAGUGUAGUACGCCGCCAGCCGCGCCUGACCUGAUCGAAGAGCACUCGACAGUGACCGCCGCGCGGGGCGAGAUGCUGGCGGCGGCGGCGGCGGCGGCGGCAGUAGAUCCGCCGCCGCCACCUCUUCACCAAUCUCCGGCGGUAGCACCCCCGCCUCUGCUACAGCCCCGGACAACACGCUAUGACUUGAUAACAUACGGGCCCGCCCCCGUCCCCGCCCCCGUCCCCGCCCCCGUCCCCGCCCACGCUGCUGUUGUUGCUGUUGUUGCUGUUGCUGUUGCUGCUGUUGCCGCUGUUGUUGCUGUUGUUGUUGUUGCUGUUGUUGCUGUUGCUGUUGCUGCUGUUGCCGCUGUUGUUGCUGUUGCUGCUGUUGCUGUUGUUGCUGCUGCCACCGCAGCGAGAGGCGGCGCUGUCGAGAGGCGGCGGCGGGGGUUGCAGUGGCGUCAAGCCCCGAGGCGGUUGCGAGUUGCUCGUCCAGUACGACACUUCCAUCUUCAAGGCCGGCAAGGAUGGUCGCCAGGACGUCGCUGUCGGUGGACGAGCAACCACCACCACCAACAAGAACAAGAACAAGAACAAGAACGACAAAAUAAAAUUCCGCAACGUUUAGUAAAAACACUAAAAAACCAGAAAAAAAGUAAAACAACAUAUUCAAUUAAAUGGGGUCCCCCUCUCCUGUGCUAAGUAAUUGACCUAUACUUUUAUACAAAAACAGUAGGCCGCGACGACUUCUCUAAGGUGACCGCAUACCCGGCAGCAAUGGCAGUAGCGAUAGCAGUAGCGGUACCAGUAGUGCCAACAGUAACCGUGUUUGGUACAAAAACAGUUAUGGCGAUAGUGGCAGCAGCAGCAGCUCCCGGCCCUUUCCCUCCCCCCCUCCAUCCGCCCGCCCGCCCCCCACCGUCUCGGAAAAACCCGCAUUAGCGUAUCAGCUGAAACCCGCUGAAGCCCGAAAACACACACAUACAUACACGCACACGCGUGUGUACACGCUUACUUGUACGUCAUGUGGUACGGCAUCCGCAAAUCCCAGGCACGGUUUGGAUGCUGUCGCGUGAACGCAAUGGGAGCCAUAGCCGCCGCCAUGACGUCAGAGUCGUACCCUGCCUCCACCCAUUUCCCCACGGCGUCAGUCGCCACAAAGUGCUCGCGUACGGGUGCCAUCGUCUGCAGUAAUGGUUCCGGCUCGUCCUUGUCGUACCGGUCCAGAGACGCCAAGUAGGCCAACAGCUCAAAGCCAAUGUACUGCACCGCCAACGGCAUCCUGUUUGUACGGCAAAAAAAAACACCAUCCGUUUACGGCACCGGCUUGUGCCAAGUACACAGGUUCGGUCUGCACUGUGAGCCCACGACGACCAGCCAUCAGUGGGUCCAGUCAGAUCUGGUCGCUUCUUGAUGAGAUUGAUUCAGGUUAUCUACCGGCUGGACAGGUUCCUAGGCAGCGCCUCCAGGCCCCCGUACGGCAGUUUGUGUACGGCAGCCGCAAUAACAGUAGGGUGGUAGCAAGUGGCGGUGGUAGCAUUGUGGGCCCAUUAUCCCCCCCUUCAUCCUAAACGCAUCCGCAAACCAAUACAGCUCCUCCAUACCCGCCUCCGAAGCUCCGAAACCCAAAUACCCCUCUCCCCAUCACGGUGAACCCCCCCCCGUUCCCCCGGACGGUGAUUUCCAUUCCAGUUGACUGCCCCCCACCCCAAACCUCGGGCCCCCCCCCACCCCAACCCCGACCCCACUGACCCGCCGUUUAUCGCCACCGCUAAAUUGCUCCCGGGAGAAAGCGGCGCAUGGUUGACCAGCAUCAUUUGACUUGGGGCCCCGGGGCCCCCCUCCUCCUGGCCGGCGGGUGUGCGGCCUCCCUGGAGAGAAUAGAGGCUGGCCUGGGGGCAGAGCUCUUUCGUACAGAGCUCCAGACUGCCGCCGCCGCUGCUAGAUCCAGAUCCAGAUCCAGAUCCACGAACCCAAACUCGGUGGGAUCCAGGAACCGGCCACACGCUCAGGCGGCUCAUCUCCACUGUCGAUUUGAACUCCUCCCGAAUGAACAUCUGAUGUGGCGGUGGUGGUGGUGGGCGGUGGGUGGGGCGUGGUGGUGGGGGUGGUGGUGGGGUGGUGGUGGUGGGGUGGUGGUGGUGGUGGUGGGGCGUGGUGGUGGUGGUGGGGUGGUGCGCAGGUAUAUGCGGUGGGGAAUGCGGAGAUGCCAAUGAUGCGGAAAGGAAGAGGUUAGGGUUCGUCACAAGUCAAAAAGAGGUAAUCGCAGAUGGGUGGUGGGCGGGAUGGUUGGGCUGGGGUGGGGGAAAGCAACGACGGGUCAUAGCGGUUAGGAAGGGGGGGAGAAGGGGGGAAGACACACAGACUCUAGCGCAGGAGGGGGGUAGGAGGGCAGCUGCCUGGGCCUCAGUUUCCCACUCUGUGCCCUCCGGACCUCCAUGCGGUGUUUUUCUCGCAGCCCUGGGCAGCCCUUCGUACUGCCGCUUUUGUCGUACCGCCUUUCUCUCCCCUUGUCCAACCGCCGCCGCACCGGCUCUCCCCCUUUGCAUCACCUUCCGCCGCCUCCCUCCCCCUCCUCCCCUUCCCCCCUUCCCCACCCGGCCAUUCAAAUCACGGACGUCCGAGUCGCGGUGCCGGGUUUUCGUCCCUAGAUACUGUUCCCCACCACCUCUUUUCCCCACGACCUCCAUCCACACACUCCAUCCCCCCCCCCGCCCCCUCACCCACCCGCAUCUGCUGUACAUACACCGCCAGUACCAGCGCACAACGGCCCCGCGCGAAACCCAGGCUGCCGUGCGUGCAGCCCUCAUCGGGCUCUGAGGGGGCAGAGGCCGCCAACAACUUCCCCGUGAUGCGGAACGCCUCAGCCGCGGCGGGAGUGUCCAGCAGAGGGCGCAAGUCGGUAGGGUCAAAAUGGACGCCCUGCUGCGACCCGUGGGUCUGUGCGAUGGUCGACCAGAUCGCUUGGAGCAGUGUCAGCCGCCGGCAAGCUGUCCGAGCAGCGACGGGGUUGGGCGGGCCGGCGUUGGAGUUGGGCGGGGGUUGGAGGGGGGGGGGGUUGGAGUUGGGCGGGGGUUGGAGUUGGGCGGGGGUCGGAAUCUCGCCGGGUGUCGGUGUCGCAUUUUUCUUUGCCAAACGGCACGUUUCUCCCCCCCUCUCUCCCCCUCGCUCUUUACGUGGCAAAUCCCCCCCUUGACACAACCGCCACAGGUUGCUAGGUUGCUAGGUAGCUAGGUAGUAGCAGUAGCUAGCUAGGUACCCUAACCCAGCAUCAAUCGCCUCCCACCCCAUCCCCACCUGCGCCGCGGGGCAGGCAAAUCGGGUAGGGCGGCAGCGCCCCGGCACCACUCGCCGCAGUCGUGUUGCUGCUGCUGCUGCUGCUGCUGCUUCCCGAAUCAAGCCCCCCGGCUGCUGCGCCAGAUGCGGCUGUGGAGGCCGCCUCCGCCGCCAGGGCCGCGUCGCGCGCACGCUGGUAGUCCUCCACGUACUGCAGCAGCUCCUCCCAAGUGCGGGGCACCUGCGACAGCGGCGACAUACAUACAUACACACGGGGCGCAAGACGAUCGCGCAGCCUUUGCCUGAGGGCUGUAAGGAUGAGCAUGGCUCAUGACGUGACGGGGCCUCGGACCCCUUGCGCGGGCGCGAGUGGGUGACGGGGUGUGCGGCCUGCGCAUAUGUGCCUGUCUGUCUGUCGGUCUGUAAGUAUGUUAGUAUGCGCCUCCGCCAUGUCAGACCAACCGCGCCGUUGCAGCUGGUACUGCUUCUGCUGUUUCGGCCAUGGGUGCUACAGCCGUUUCUCUCUUUUCCUCCCCGGGGGGUGCUGUGCCACCACAAGUGUUGAGCGCCGGCAUUGCAUUGGCCCAUAACGCCGUCACCGCUAUUGCUGCUGGUGCGGCUGCUAUUGCUGCUGCUGCAAUUGCUGAUACUCCGCCAACUCCGCAGAGGACCUACCUCAAGUUUCAGUCGGUCAAACACGUCCCUGCGGUUGAUGAGGUACAUGGUAGAGCCAUCCAGAGGCAUGCUGACGAUCUGGCCUUUGUACGACGCCAGUUGCAGCCGAAAAAGCUGAUAAAUAUCAGACCACCGAAUGCUGCUGACGGAAUCCACCAGAUGGCUGCAGGGUUCGAACCGGGACAUAAGGGCUUUGGAACAUUGAAUUAUCGGUUCGAGCGAUUUGGGGUUCCAACGUGAAAGUAUCGAUUUGCACAGGGGCACAGGGAGGAGCAGAUGCCUGGCACCCGGGCCGUUGCUCUGUCGCGGAUUUGCGGGGGACGCUGGGCUAGUGGUUGAUGUUUGAAGUGGUGAGACAAAAUCUCAGCUAGCUGCUGUACGUCCGCUGUGCGUGGGAAGCCGCUGGCUUUUCCUUCAAAAUAACUAAUUCAUAAAAUUUGACAAGAAAGCGGGUAGAGCAGAAAUCAGAUCGCGUCAUGGCCCUUCUCGCUUUUGCGACGGCCUCUUCCGCCCCCUUCCAGCUUCACGCCGUGCGACGCUGUAUUAUCUUUUCAUCUUUAUCUACGCCGAAUGCUGAUAUGCUAAGGGAUUUGCCUAGGGAGCGCAAUCGCUCGCCUUCCUCACGUGCUUUGCAGCAGCGCGCCUGAAACACUAGCUGCAUUAGCUGGAAUGUGACGAUGAGAUACUACGCCUCUUUCCAUGGAGCAGCGAUGAACACACAAGAAAACAUAUAAAGAAAGAGACUUUGCGGUCCUAAACCUUGGCGACAUCUGCCUUGCCCCAAGCAUACUCGGAUCCACCUGGAUACAGAUACAGAAUCCUGGAUCCCGGGUUAUAGACACCUGCGCGCCCCUCACGGACCUCAGGUCAAGGGACAUGCCGACGUCGGCGAGGUGCUGGGUGGUAAGCGUCGUCUGGAGCCACACAGCGUGCUGGCGUGAAGGAUGCAGGUUGACAUCGUUCGUGAUGGUGUCGAGCAGACGAUCCAUCGGUUGAACAUUCAGGUCCAGAGGCACGCCAGAGGCCUCCGAAAAGCGCAAGAGCGUUGGUCGAAGCCAAUCUUCGUAAAUGUCCGGAAGCAACACGCGGAGUGCAGGACCCCAUUCCUGUAUGCAAGUUGAAGCAAAUUGGGACGAGGUGGGAAAGAUAGAUUUGGGAGAAUAUUCUGAGUCCGAACCGAACGCCGGGUUGCCCGUUGCCGUGAUAAAACGGUUGGUGAAAGAGUGGACUACACAAAGGUGGCUCACCGGGUCCCCUUCGUUGAUAGUUGACCAACACUGAUACCAUCCCUUUACAAUAUCCUGCUUCAAGGACUGCCUGCUCCUUGACGUUAAGUUCCCUGCGACACAACUACUUUACGAGGCAGUGGACGACAGCGGGAUGCCCAGAGGGCAACAAAACAAGUAAUUUCAUUAGGUAAUGGCUUUCUGUUAUUCAUGGAGGCACCAUGUGAACGUGCUGCGGACCUGUCUAUGGAGGACGCGAUAAUCUGUGGGCAUUUCAUGUACAACGUAUCGGUCUCAUUGUCGCUGAUUGCGCUCUUUACAGUGCAGGUCCAUCCAAGCACCAGCACCAAGAACAGAGUGGCGCAGACCAUUGCGGCACUUGCACCUGAGGAAGAAACUUAAGAGCUCAGAUAUCUUGGGUGCAUAACACCACAUGUGGACACCUCUUGUCCAAAAUUCUAUGGCGUCAUUGUGUGUCGGCUUCAUUCCAUGUGCUCGCCCACGGCAUCAGUAACCUUCCCAACAUAUGCGGCGACACUUUGUUCCUGCGCUUGAACCUAAGCAGUUUAUUUGACCCUUUGGUACCUUGGCUAGUGUCAGUAUCAGGGCAACUGCAUGUCGCUGGGAUUCCCAAAAACCUUUACUGUACGAACAUAGACCCGAGGACCCGUACACGGCCUUGCCCUUUCUACUAUGUUGUGCCGGGCAUCUAACACAUGCAUACUUAGCGCCAUUAACAGUGCAGUGCUCAUAUUUCACUUGGCUUUCGCAUCCCUCAUUCGUGGAAACCUCACGUAUACGAAAAUAUCACAUUAUGAGAUAUUAAUUACAUUUCCUGGGAAGAGUUUUAUUGUGCACGGUUCAAGGCGCGAGUCAUCAGCCAAAAAGCAGAUAUCCACGAUUUGUGUAGAAAAAGUGUUUAGGCGGGACUGUGCGUAAUCAACUCCAUAAGCCCGCUUGAAGCUAGUGAAGACUGGUUCACCCCUUGCACAUUCAUUUGGGCUAUGCUGAAUACAUUCGAGGCGACUGCGCAGACCAGGUACGGCUUGGUACAGCAGCUGGUCUGGCAGUUUUAUGUCUUGUAGCGGACUUUUCCGGUUAUAUUACAUAUAAAUUGCGCAAUGCUUGUGACUAGCACGUCUGCCCGCGCGGCCGCUUGCAAGAUAUCACGCGUCCGGGUCAGACCAGCAGAUAUGUUGACCGGCAAAAAAGCAGGGGAAGAACCUCGCGUUUUACCACAUUUACCAAAAUUAACAAGCUUAUCGAAAAUUUUCAACUUGCGUGAAAAGGGAUAUACGCCCUGGGUCCACUGCAGCGUAGAUGAAAUGGCUCCCCCAGGAGUCUCCGCCAUGUGUCGCUACGGAGCCGCAACACGCACACCGAAUGCAGAGAUACAUCCUGCAUAGAAAUAGCUUUACCGUCCGAGGCUUGCGCAAGGAAGGAUGGUUGGAAAGCGCGCAACGCCCGCAACGGUCCGCAACGGUCAAAAACUCGUUGGAAGCAGGACGGAUUGCUGUCGCGCACUGCUCCCUUGACUCUAUUUGUGGAAACACAACAAGUUUGCUAUGCCAGCGCAACUUCCAUAGGCCAUAUAUGCCUCGCCAACCCGGAGUUUGAUCAGGCCAUUAGGUCACCAUCUCGCAACACGCACUGUGAAACUGCGAUGUGUGCAAAAAGGCGCGCUAGGUCGCUCGGACGGGUAUAGUGUAUAGUCUGCGCGCAAACAGGUUGUCCUUUAGCUUUUAAACCAGGGAAGGCAUUCCCUGGCUUCGAGUGAAGGAGCCAUGCAUUUAAGUAAGAUUUUCGCGCAGCGCGGAGAUAGAGUCAAGGAGGAGCAGCAGCAUCCCUUGCGAAGCAGGGUUUGGCAUGCGAGCUGCAGUUUUCCUUGUCUGUCUGUCUGUCUCUGCUAACCGCUCCGGAGCCUUGGACGUCCGCGGGCGUUCCUUGGACGACGGUACUCGGGGCCCCCGUCGGGGGAGUGUGCGCCCCUAGAGCACCCUUAACUGUUUAAUAGUCGCAACUGAACGGAACGGCCUCCGUCGCCAACGUUGGUGGUUAUGAUUUCUCUUCCCGUGCGCUGCUCAAUUUCGGUGCGUGAUCCGCUGUCGAGGAUUUAGGAUCCAACCGACAUGGCCUGCAGCUUUCCCUGAUAUGCUCCUCGCCGUUGCGCCAACCUGAAAUUGUGCUGCAUUUUAUCGUUAGGAACACAUGCCAUGCGAUUGCGGUAAAGCUUGUUGCAGUAAUCGAAGUAGUCCAAAGGUUUAAGGUCAGGCACAAAGGUUGGAACAGCAGGACAUAAUCAACAGCUAUAUUGCGCCCGCUCCUAGUACCGGCAUUAAGAUAACAAUAGAUAACCACCAGAAACCAUAGGUUACGGCAUUAAUAUCCUUGUAUUUGUAUCUGCCACUAGUAAGGGCGCAAAAGUCACUGCCGCAGCCCGUUUUCGUCUGUUUUCGUCUAGCCGCCUCGAGAGCAAGCAGGCAAACUUACGACAAACGUAAAAUUUCGAGCUCGGAACUGUGUUAUGAUACAGAAAAAUUCGAGCAGGAUAACUAAGGCUGCGCAUGGCUUGGGCGUCGCGGCUCAUCUGGUGGUACCCGCCUCGGUUCAUCACCGUCGGCGGUUCGUCGCUCGGCGCACUGGUAUACGUCACGCUGUUGGCCCUGGCAAGUGUGCUCAGCACCAGCGUAGCCGUAGUGGCAAGGUUAACCCUUAAGGUUAAGGACGUGGCGACCUGGUGAUGGCCCGAGCGGAGAGAGCGGAGCCUGCGCGUGUGUGCGGGGAAUGUAGCAGAAUAUUUUCGUUUGAAAAGACCUUGGGACUGCAGCAAAUUGCUGUUGCCAUAACCUAUCUUUAAUCGUGAAAAAGUUCAGUUUAAAUGUUGUCGUGCGGGAGAGCUUCACGCCUCGCUUUCACGACCGAACCUGACGACUGAGCUCUCUCGCCGUGGUUGCCGCCCCCUACAGCGGUUACCUUCUUAUCUUAUCUUCCUGCGGAUCUGCUGAAGACUCUGCUUCUGUGAUCCGCCGUGUACUAUCCGAAGAUCCUUUACUUGGGAGUAUAAUAUCUUAAACUGGUCUUCGUUUUCACCAGCAGUUCGGCUAACGUUCGACGGGAUCUGCCCGUGGCCCCCGCCUGUCGACCUGUCCCCGGGCCCGCUGCAGACCUCUCGGUCCUCCCGCGCACCGCACGCGCGCCACCCUCACCGCUACUUACAACAUAUAAUCAUUCAUCCGAUUUUUUUACUUUCAUCUCUUUUAUCUUUCUUUGCUCGUCCAUCGCUGCUUCGUACAUGGCCGAGCUCACACUCGAAUUCCUAAUCCCCGUGUUGCCAAACCAGGCCGUCUGGUUGUGCUGGCUGGGCACCUACCCGCUGCGCCGAUGGCAAUACAGGCACUUCCCUGGUGGGUCUUUUAAGGAGCGAAAGGAGGACGGAAAGGGAAGGAAGGGAUAAUCGAGGAAAGGCCUUUAGGAUGUCAGGCCCCAAAGGCCUGGAUUCGCUCUGGCAACGCUAUCACCUUCGCUAUCACACACACACACACACGCACACACACACACACGCACACGCACACGCACACGCACACGCACACGCACACGCACACGCACACGCACACGCACACGCACACGCACACGCGCACGCGCACGCGCACGCGCACGCGCACGCGCACGCACAGGCACACGCGCACGCGCACCCGCGCACGCGCACCCGCGCACGCACGCACGCACGCACACACACACAUGCACACGCGCACGCACACACACACACAUGCACACGCGCGCGCUCGUUCAGAACAGGGCUGUGGCGUUGCGUCUUGGUACCCCCGCCGUCGGUCACACACUUUUCAAAACACCGCGCGUGCAAUCGCACGGUCCAGGCCCCUUGCAGCCGUCAUCGCCAAAUGCAGCUAUUCAGCCACUAACGUAGCAGCGGUUGACGGGUGAUGCCGGCGCGGGGGCCUUGGGUGGCUGUGGCUGUGGCCAUGGUUGGCAGUAGCGCACUAGCAGGAUCGGCGAAGAUCGGGGCGCUCUGCAAGACGCGGUUAUUCAAGCCGGUCGUCGAGAUGAACGACUUUGACACUGUAUUUAUAUAUAUAUAAUUGUCCGCAUAUGGAACAAAGCAAACCUCGUGGAUGGAUGGAAGAGCGGGUACUAUGUCGUACCGCGCAGGUCCGCUUGGGUGGCCUUUCGUGGGUAAUCUGCCGCAAAUCGUUGCCAUGGACGUAACCAAGUACCUAUCGUACACGGCCAAAAAGUACGGACCCAUCUGCAAGGUACGGAUGGUCAUGUUUCUGAACUUGCGUGUUUAUGUACGUAAUUUUACGGGAGGAGCCGCUCGCAAGGAGCAAACACAGCCUUGACAGGAUUGCAGUAAAUGACAGAUGAUAUCACCAUCAACGUGGUCGGCGGGUAGUCAUUCAAGCACACGCAACGCUUUGUCCGUUCCGUCGUACACAAUAUGCCAGAUAAUGGUUCUUACGGCAUGUACAGCACGCCACGUGUGACGAACCUGAGGCGUCCAGGAAUUUCCGCGUGCGCUUUGAACAUGUGCCCGUAUAAUUGUCAACUACCAACCUAUCCAACGAACAUUUAAAUACCUACUUAACUUCCAUCUAUUCUCCAGGCCGGCUUGCCAAUACUAUUUUUUCUGCUUUUUUACUCCUGGCGGCCUAGGUAGGUAGUCUUUCCGACAUCUUCUUCACUUCGUCAUCCCGAGGUCACGGUCUCCACGGACGCCUUUCGGUCAGUUCUACGUUUGAUACUCUCUUGCCCUGGCAGCAGCUUCAAUCGUGUGUGGUUCGUCUUUCCCCCCUCCCCCCUCCCCCCGCCCUCCCCCCUACAGAUCUGGUUCGGCACCAGGCCCUGGCUCCUCAUCAGCGAUCCGGUGCUCGCACGGUGCGAAGAAAAGAGAGCUCCACCGAGUCCGUUUUCCUCCGAGCUCUAGUGAACCAGCGACAGCACUGUGCAUGCUCUGGGGGAAAGGUUCUGAAUCCAACCCAAGAAUCUUGCUGCAUAUCGUACACCUUGCGUCGUACAUUGCCACUGAGGUCGCUUGUAUUAGGUGUCCUCUGUCUUUAGUGUAGCGAUAGACCCUUCCCCACUAACUUCCAUCCGUACUUCCGUACUCAACCACUUCUCCGUACAGAUCCCCGCGUGUCCCCCUCUCCGUGCCGUGUUUUGCCGCCGCACCAUCGUAUCCGAGAUCUAUUCCCUCCGCCCCCUCCUCAACCGCAGUAAGUUGGCCUUCCAGUGCACUGCGCGUCCCUUGGAGCUCCCCACCUUCCUGGACACUCUCACGGGAGAGAACAGACAGAUAGAGCUGGUCAGCGCCUUCUUCGCGCAGUGAGUGAAUGAGUGAGCGAGCGGGCGAGUGAGCGAGUGAUUGAAUGAGUGUGCGAGCGAGUGAAUGAGUGAGUGAAUGAAUGAGCGAGCGGGCGAGUGCGCGAGUGAGUGAUUGAGUGCGCGAGUGAGUGAAUGAGUGAUUGAAUGAGCGAGCGGGCGAGCGAGUGAAUGAGUGAAUGAGUGAGCGGGCGGGCGAGCGAGUGAAUGAGUGAAUGAGUGAGCGAGCGAGCAGGCGAGUGAGUGAGUGAACGAGUGAGCGAGCAGGCGAGUGAGUGAGUGAACGAGUGAGCGAGCGAGCUGAGCCGAACCGAACCGAACCGAGCGAGCGGGCGAGCGAGUGCGUUCCAGGUUGCAGAGCGUAGGGCCCAGAAGUAAGCUAGGCUUUCCUCCACGCCUGCCAACACCCUACGACAAUUUUUCAGAGAUCGCUCAGUUUAAAUCAGCAGCUCUCCUACCAAUACCACCCAAUCAGAUGCUUUCGUGCAUCCGCACAGCAGUACCAGUCUAAACUAUAGCUUCAGAGCAUUGCCCUCGUGCAGGAGUUCCCAAAGAUGCGUCUGUCUGUCUGUCUGUUUGUCUGUAUGUAUGUAUGUAUGUAUGUAUGUAUGUAUGUAUGUAUGUAUGUAUGUAUAUGUUGUAUGGGCCCCGCUGCCUGGAGGGGGCAGCUGCCCGGCGGAUCGACGUGUGGGCGCUGCGCUCGGCCCCGGCAGGGCAGGGCCGGGGCAGGCCGGUGUGUUUCCCGCGUCUACUCCCGCCAAGCGUGCGGGAGGGAGGGGAGGGCCGCUGCCAACCCUUGGUGUAAUUCCCCAGCCACACAUGCACGCACAAUCUCGUCAUACAGCCGUCUCGCGACACAUCUCAUAAUAAAACCCACCAUCGCAUGCAUUACCCCGGCCCCCUCUGACGCGAUCUUCUAUGCAUUGUUGUUGUUGUUGUUACUGGGCCCGAACAGUGGGGAGACUUGGCGACGGGGACGCCGCGCCUUCGAGGCGUCCAUCAUCCACCCGGCCCGGUGAGAGCCCCUUCAGACGGGUGGGUGGGUGGGUGGGUCGAGUCUGUGGUCUGUGGUCUGCGGUCUGUGGUACGUGGUACGUGGUACGUGGGGUGGAGCAUAUGAUGCGCGCAUUCCGUGGUGGGCUGUGGGGGCUGAGGUGUGGUGCACGAACAUGGGGUACAACACUUUGUGCUACCCAUACGCACAACCUCUGGCUACUGUCGUAUACGAUGUACCCCAAACACCGCCUUUAUUUACCCAUUGACCGCCACCACCCAUUCUUCGACGCAUACGUACAAACGUACACACGUACACGGACUUCUUCCCUUGGUGCUUUUAGAGUCUGGACUUUUGGUGCCAUUGACUUUUUGCAUUUUCCAUUUUAGGCUCUUCAACCCACCGGCAGUACAGCAUCCGCCCCUUACACGCGCACAUGAUAUUUCAAUGAUGGUUUUUAUAAUUUCCCCACCCCCUGUCCCCCCCGUAUGUCACUGCCCGCCCCAGCCUGAACGCCCACCUGCCUGCCGUACGUCGCUGCCUGGCCCGGUUUAUCCCCUCCCUGGAGCGAUACGCUUCCUCGGGUCAGCCCCUCAACGCGCUCAGUGCCCUGGGUGACCUCAUGCUCGCCAUCACGGGGGAGCUGGCGUACGGGUGAGGACAGGAGGAAGGGGGGAGGACAAGGGGGGGAAGGGGGAUUGUGUUGGGGGGAAACACGGACGCGUGGGGAUGUAACAACCACCACACACGCACACACGCGGACAAACAUACGUGAGCACACACACAUACACAUGCACGGACAUGGACACGGACAUGGACACGGCUAAGUUGUGGUGUCACAGCCCGUGUGAAACCCGCGGCGCUCUUUGUCAGCCAUGAGGAGAUCGCGCGCAACGUGCUGCUGUGGUCGUACAUCACGCCCUCGUACAUCAUGCCGUACGACUGCCUCUCCGUCCGUAGAGUCGACUUUGAGGUGGACUUCAACUUGCUGGAGACAAAGGCGGCCUUCCAACCCGACAAGGAGCAGGGCCGGCCGCAGCAGAGUCAGCACCAGGCCGCCUACUACCGCAAGCAAGGCCCGCCGAGUGGGGGCGCGGGUGCGGGUGCGGGUGCGGGUGCGCGCAUGGCGUACUUCUGCCGGGACGUGUUUCGGACCUUUCGGCUUCAGGACGCCUCCAUCUACCUACCACUGCAGGUACCACCACACCAGCCUGCCCCCCCCCCUUUCUCUCUUUCUCUCUCUCUGGUUCUUCCACAAUUGUGUGAGCAAUCAAUCUAUCUAGCAAGCAAGGUUCAAGUAGUCCAACCGCCUACACGGCACCACAUCAGCAACACCCCGGCACAGCAAACUGCGCCACAUUACAAGUCCUUACCAAGACACGUACACGAGAGGCGCCCCAUUACACGAUUCCAUGUCUCGUAACAUGUACCCAGCAACAACGCCCCGGCCCCCCCUUAACAACACUACUGCCUGACAGGGUUCGACACCCCGUACGGGGCCCGUAAGUUUUUGGCCUUUUUUCGGUAUCCCCGUCAGGGCCCGUAGGACUUUACGGUGGCUCCCGUAAGGAUUUUGGGGCGCGAAGGGCCCCGUACGGGGCCGCCCCCGGACCGGCCGAAGGCCGGUUACGGUGGCUCCCGUAAGGAUUUUAAGGAUUUAUAAGAGGCCGUACGGGGCCCUGUAGGGGAGAGGACGGACCAUAUAAAGGAUAAGGCCACACACUUGGCAGACAUAAUUCAUAUUGCAAUAUUUAACUACACUUUUCAUAAUACUUUUAUAGCUUCUGGUCUGUAACAUCCAGCGAUGGCAGACAAUGAGUCGUCAGGAGGUGACCAAGGGCCUCCUAAUCCAUCGCCCUCCAAGAAGCGCGAGAAAAUAACGAAAAUAACGAUUUACAGGGCAAAAAAAUGCAAAGCGUCACUUUCCACAGCGUUUCAGCCAAGGAUAGUGCCCCCGUAAAGGUUUUGCGGGGGUUACGGGGGCCCCUGUAAGGUUUUCGGCCGGUACAGGAGCCUGGUACGGGGGCCCCUCCGUAAGGAAAAUUUGGGAGGUACGGGGGAGCCCGCAAGUUUCAGGAAGGUCAGUGUCGAACCUGCUGCCUGUGCGAUACAUACAGUAACUGCAUCACAGAGUGGAGUGGAGUGGUGUAGUAGCUGGUACACAGUACGGCUCUACAAAUACGCGCGUAUCGCGACCACCAGCAUCUCGAGAGGCCUUUUCAGCGGGGCCAGCUACUACAAGUGGAGUGGAGUGUUGGGGGAUACGGAAUUACCGGGAAUCAAGCAUCGCCUGUGUUUCUGUGGACCUAUCCCGUGUUGUGCAUAUACGAACCAAGCUUGACGCGCGAUCCACGCUGUGUCUUGCCGCCACACUCACCCAUGCAGCUCGUCUUCCCUUCUAUGGCCCCCGCCAUCCGCCUCCUAGCGGACGCCCUCCCUGACGCCAACCAGCGCCGCUCCAUGGGGGCCAGAUCCGCCAUGGCCGUCGUCAGCCGACAGCUCAUUGCUCAGUGGGCGAGGGCCAGAGCCGACGGCGGCGGCAGCGGAGGUGCAGGCAGCGGCGGCGGCGGGGAGGAUGACUCCGCCAGGGCGGUGGCGGUGGCGCCAGGUGCGCAUUCCCCCCCGGACGCUGCCGCCGCCGCCGCCGAAGAUUGCGGCCGCGGCGGCGAUUUUCGAGAGGUUGACGGUGGCAUCAGCGGCUCGAGCUUCCUGGCAGCGAUGCUUGAGGGCCGGCGGCGGCGCGGAGGCGGUGUGGGGGUGGCUGAGCAGGGGCAGGGGCAGGGGCAACAGCAGCAACAGCAACAGCAGCAGCAGCAGCCGAACUAUGUGGAGCUCACGGACGAUGAGGUGCGGUCGGGGGUCGGCGCGGUCCCUUCACGUUUUAUCAACCCUGCACCCGUUUCAUCAGCCCGCAACGGAACAAACCACCGCCACAAGGACCAACAGGAAACGCCUCCCCGUGUUGUCAAGUCGAUCGCUCCUCGUGCCGCGUAGACAUGCAAGCGUGAAACCCCUUUUCUUUCCCCCCCCAAUCGGUUGAGGUCGAAGCUGGGGGUUCCCGCCAGCCCCCACCAGCCCCGCCGCCCUCGCAGCCGCAUCAUCGCGACUGGCACCAUCGCCGCCACCUCCUCCUUCACGUGCGGAGCUCCGAAGUUAUAUUGUUUUUCUCGGGUCAAAAUCAAAUAGAGGCGCAAUCGGCUGCCGUCGAUGUCAUUUCCAGUUCCCCACCCACCCAUUCACCCACCCAUUCACCCACCCAUUCACCCACCCAUCCACCCACCCAUCCACCCACCCAUUCACCCACCCAUUCACCCACCCAUUCACCCACCCAUUCACCCACCCAUCCACCCACCCAUCCACCCACCCAUUCACCCACCCAUUCACCCACCCAUCCACCCACCCAUUCACCCACCCAUUCACCCACCCAUUCACCCACCCAUUCACCCACCCAUUCACCCACCCAUUCACCCACCCAUUCACCCACCCAUUCACCCACCCAUUCACCCACCCAUUCCCCACCCACCCAUUCACCCACCCAUUCACCCACAUCGGGCUCUCCCGGACGUCUCCUAACAGCUUUCUUCCUCGUUUUUUCCGCUAAAAUACUUCCAUCUAAAUCUUCAUCUUCACAUCCUCACCUUCUCAUCUUCAUUAUCGAUGCGACAACGCAGCAAAAGUCCCCGCCUGCGGCCUCAGGAUGUGCGUGUGUGAAUGCGCAUCUGCAAAUGUAGGUGAUCGCGCAGAGCCUGACCUUCAUUCUGGCGUCCUACGAAACCAGCAGUACAACCACCGCCCUGGCGCUCCUGCUGUUGGCCGCCCACCCAGGAGCUCAGAGGCGACUCGCGGAAGAGGUGGACGCCGUACAGGGCGGGGAGCUGACGGCGGCGGUGCUGGCCGAGGUGGGGAAAUCGGAAGAGGGUAUUUGGGCGCUCCAGGGGGCGUUCACGGAGGGUUCAUGGAAAUGAUUCAAUGCAAUGGAGAGGUCGUUUGUAUAUGCUUGCAUAUGUGUUUCUGUGUGCAUGCCGUGUUUCCCGUAUGUGUAUGUGUAUGUAGGUAUGUAGGUAUGUAGGUAUGCGUUUCUUUAUGAUGAUCUUCUGAGUGCCGCGAUGGCGGGGAGGAAAAUGUAUGUCGAUGGUCGUACACUCGCGAAUAAAUUCGUACCGAAGCGAAAUCUGUACCAGUCACCAGCGACGUAUUAUUAGGAUUUUCUAAUGAAACUGUAGACGUAGCUUGAAUAUUUCGAGAAGAUGUUGAUUAGGAAAGAGUGACGUUGCCAAGAGCCCAGAGUAGGGGAGUAAGCGGAGGAGGCGCUAUCGUGGUGGCGAAGGGCAACGACCCGGUGGGUUGCUAGAACUGCAGUUACAACAGACAAUGAGGGCAGCUGUCAUCUGCACGAAGCCAAAGCCCUGCUCGGGAAAUCUCCACGUCACCCCGCACUCCCCUCUCACUGACCCCAUGGCUGUACUGCAUAUCAUAGUUGCCGUACACGGAGGCCGUACUGAAGGAGACCAUGCGGCUGUACCCUGCUCUCCCGAUGAUGCACCGACAUGCACGCAACGACAUCAGGCUGGAAGACGGCAGAGUGGCACCCAAGUAAGCCGCGGAUGAUGCUUUAGGGUUUUAGUUAGGGUUUUAGGGAUUCAUAAGGGUUUGGCUUUAUGGCGGUUGCUGUUUGUGUUCUGCCAAAGGGUGUUCCAAACGCAGAGCUCUGAAGUUUUUGGGAUUCUUCGCUGCUUUGUCUGAUGCUACAGAAUGCUGCUGCCCCGUGUGGGUCUCACCGACAACGCGCAGGCUUCUUCAUUCUAGAACCCCGUUCGACGCCCUGACAAGGCGUGUCAACGUGUUAGCUUCAUUUAAAAUAUUAGGUUUUCAUUUACGAAAUACUUGGUCUUAAUAUACGUAUAUAUAUUUUCAACAAAAACGGAGGGAGAGUCGUUCACCGCGAAGCUGUCUGUCUGCUCCCUCGUCCUCUGGCCACCUCAGAGGCACCUUCCUCGCACUCUGCUCGUACAACAUGCACCAUGAUGCCGACCUUUGGCCGCAACCGGAGCUCUUUCUUCCGGAGAGGUUUCUAAGGCCGGAGGUCGAGCCCGGGGGCGGCGGCGGGGGCGGUAAUGGAGGCGGGGGCGGUGAUGGAGGCGGUGGCGGCGGCGGCGAUGGCGGUAACCCGCUGGGCCGUGCACACCCCUCGCCGCCGUGGUUCGGAUUCGGAUUGGGUCCCCGCAUGUGCGUGGGACACAAGCUAGCGACGAUGGUGGGUGCAACCGCAACUUUUACAAUACCUCUUAACAGUUGCCUGCCAUGGCCGCACACGGCCUGCGCUGCGCUUGUGUCCCGGCCAAGCCACGCCGCGGGCCAAGUCGCACCAAAGAAUGAAGUACUGGGGCCUUUUACGCUGACGACCACGAGAUGUGCAGGAACUGUAAGGAAAUGUUGAAGCCGCACGCUACCGGUUGGACUGGACAGGACGUGACGCCGCCGCCGUCAUAUUUCUCCCUGUGCGGUGUCCCCCAGUUCUGCUUCUUCUACAUUCUUUCCUUGGCAGCAGCUUCACUCGUUCGUGGUUCGUCCUUCCCCCACUUCCCUCCCUGUAGCAAUCCUGCGCCGCAGCCCCCCUUCUCCCCCCGGUUCGUCUUACCUCCGGCGCUCCGUCUGCCCGCGCAUACGCUGGAAUUCGACAGGUAGCGGCGGACUUGGACAGUUUUGCGUUGUAGGGGAUUCAUUCCUCCUGUUCCCGUUCCUCCCUCUCCCUCCUCGGCUGGCAGUUCACUUUCCACUUUCUCACAUAUGAUUCCCACCCCCCCAACCCCCCCCCCACACACACACACUCCCGCACACGCUCUGUCAGGUUGCCAAGGCCACGUUGGUGUCGCUGCUGCGGCGCUUCAGCUUCAGCCUGGCUCCCCAUCAGCACCUGCCCCCGGCUAUGGCCACGGGCCUCACCUACGGGCCGCGAGACGGGGCCGUCUGGCUGCAGCUGCACAGCCGCAACACAGCGCCCAUAGUCGCCGUCUGAGCCCCACCUGACAGCACGCAGCUAUGAGCCGAGCAGGGAGCCGAGUGUAAUCUAUGAUCGAUUUUGCUCGGAGAGCGGAUUUCGGCUGGAAGUUCGGAUGUCUUUCGGAAGUCGGACCGGAACCUGCUUCUGCGAGCCCGCGGUAGUCGUUGAAUGUAGGAUUGGCGUUACAGCGCUGAUGAGAUCGGAGUUGGUUAAUGUUGUUGUUGUUGUUAGUGGUGGUUUUGGUGGUUUUAGAACACGCCCUUGAUAAGACUUGGCUGCGGUAAAUUGAGGUUGAAGGAGCUGCCUUGUGGGCUGUGAUUGUGGCAUUUCCACGAGCUACACUUUUUUGUAACGCCUAUAAGUUCAGUCGGCCUGAGGCGGCUGGGCUGGCCGUCUGGGGCCCCGACGCCUUCAGCCGAGCGGUGUACGACAAGAGCAGUGGCCGUACCCUGGAGAUCCUUCAGUGGCUGCACACCGAGGGCUGCCCGGUGGACUGGGAGGAGGCCCGGAGCCGGGCCAAGACCCGAAAAGUUCAAUGUUGGAGGACUGCAACAAAAGCUGUCGUUAUCGUAGCCUGUGGGUUGAGAGCAUAGCGCCGAAAUAGCUGUCCGGACGAGCCGGCCGGGUCUACAAAAGUUGCAGAUGUGCGUAUUUAGCAUAUCAUGUGCUUCUGUGAGGAAGGGGGAAAGCGAAGGCGGAGGGGCCCUGCGAGGGGAUGGAGGGGAAGGGGUGGGAUGAUAGAUGACUAAUCGAAGUGCAUUGGAGUGGAGUGGAUGGGAGUGGAGUAGGCAGCAGUGGAGGUAAUCAAUUAAUGCAACCGUUCGUGCGGGGCACAGCACAGCAGAGAGCGCAGCACAGCCCGGCGAAUGCCCCUCUCGCCUGUGUUGCGGUGCUGAUUACCAGAUGCAUUGCCGCGGCCAUGGGCAGGGACGAUGGUGACCUCAUGGUAGGGACGAUGGCGUAGGAGGAGGAUGCAGCUGCACAGUUAGUUGUGGGGAAGCAAGGAGGACCUGGCGCCCGGCGCCUGGAGGUACGACCGAUCAAGCCAUGCAAAAGCGUAGUAUAUCUUUUGGGUAGUCUACUUGUCCGAGGGGAGGUGGAGGUCCUUAUGGGCUACCGACCGACCCCGGCUCCGGAACCAUACACCCCGGGUGGAGGACGAGGUGUACCCCAGAUGCACAGACGCCAUGUACCGGAUAUACACUCUUCCGGACGUGACCGUGCACAGCCAAGGCUCCGUACCACGUGCACAGCCCAACGACCUAUAUAUAGCCCACCCGACCCGAGGGGUGUCCUGGCUGGAGACAACUUCUUCUGGUGCGCAGUUUUGGAACAAGCCGAGCCAACCUUUCCUCCCCUCCCAGCCUUGACAGGUCUCAAAAGUACGCUUAUGGUCCUCCCCAAACGGGUGAUCACGCCCUAGCCGUGCUCACAUACGCUAAUGAUAGGUAACCUUUGGACAAGAUAACCUUCGGGGUAAAUGAAUCAACGAACGUAGUCCAUUGUUACGGCUGUCGUACAAACUGUGAUACGUUUUGUCAAUUUGACCACCAUCCCGCCAAGAGCCCGCCGCACCCCUGCCUACCUGCCUGCCCGCCUGUACCUGCAUUACAAAACCCGCCGUACAGACGACACGCUAUCUAAAGCAUCGUGGUGGACAAUACCGCAGGUGGUGGGAGCUACGGGCCAAUCCGCGCCAUGGCCUUCGGACACAUGUGCAUGUGACAUGUGCAACCAGCGGUCUCUUGAGUAUUUCUAUCCAGGAGCCGUGACGACACGAUAACCCAUCGCCCCCGAUUCUGUGAGAGUGUAGGCACCCGCACCCGUACCACUAUCAGCACCAGAAUCAGCAGCAAGCAGCCGCGUGAUUAUCACGAGCAAAGACAGGGCAGGUCUUUGCUAUGCUGUGCCAAUAGUACACCUAGUCCCCAACCCCUAGGAGCAGCCCCUUCCCCUGCUCGGCGCUGCUGAGGUUGCCGCCCAACCGUAAUAACCUUCCUAAUCCGCCCUAAUCCCUCCCGCUCGCUGCCGCCUCACGCCUGCUAAUGGGAUUCCAAAGUCAGGAAAGAAAAAAAAACUCCUCAAGGAAGACGUAAGUUUUAUGAGCACCAGCCGCUUUACCAUUUCCACCACCACCAUCGCCACCAUCACCACCGACGCCAAGGACAUUCACAAGCACAUUCACAUUCGCGUGUCAGAGGACCGUUGCAGCUCCAAUCCAAGCCCAUUUCAAAGUCAUUGGAACGGGCGCAGUACCCCAGCCCCGGUAACUACCGUUAUCCCACCGCCACCACCACCGCCACCAUUACGGACACCUCUCGCCGCCGCAACCCCGGUCACUGGCCCUGUCGGAAACACCCUCCCCGGCACCGCCCCGGGACUGGCCCCCGGCCCUGCCUCCGCCCCGGGCUUCGGCUGCGCGUACGGCGGAAAGCGCGGGUUAAGGCGGCGCCAGGACGCUGGCAGCUGCAUCUGUCGACCCAAUGCCGCGAAGCUUUCCGAAGCAAAGCGACCCAAUGCCAGUCUUGCCUCCUCCUCCUCCUCCUCCUGCUGCUGGUGCUGCUGCUGCUGGUCCUUCACCUCUUCCUCCUCCACCUCUUUUAACUCCUUUCCCGGGUCUUGUCCUUGCAGCCGCCGCCGCUGGCCUGCCAUCACAACACGUCGCGCCAGCAAUGCAUCCGCACUGCGACUGGCGUACAGGAGUUCGAGCGGCUCAAAUGCGCCGCCGGCCGUCAGCAGCGCCGCCGCCGCUGCAGCCAGCCGCCGCAACCAGCUGGGCGGCGGCACCAGCUCUAGCGACGCCGCAGCCCACAGCGCCUUGACCACCAGCGUCCGGUCCAUGUACGGCGGCUCCAAGUACGGCAGUGUUGCUUCGUACCAUUCCGUCAUCCACGCUGCUGGCAGAGUCGCGUCGACAGCCGCCGCCGCCGCAGCGGCGGUAGUAGUAGUAGCGGCGGCGGCGGCGGCGGAACCGCCGUCGCCACCUGCAAGCCGCCGAUCCAGGGCCUCCUGCAGACACGCCAACGCUUCACGUUGCGCCGGCGUGGCGGCCCCGCCGUCACGGAGCCGCAAGAACGCCUCCAGCUGCUGCCGCAGUAGCUCAGCACCGGCGGCGUACUCCAGUCCCGCCUCUUGCAACAGCCGCUGCCGCCGCUGCUCCUCAUCCUCCUCCUCAUCCUGGACCUGCCCAGCCGUAGUAGCCGUAGCCAUAGCCGCUGUAGAGGGUGUUGCCGGGGCCGCGGCGGGGGCGGCAUCACUCUCCCGUGUGGGGGGAGACCGCCCUGCUGCACCUCCCCCGGAUUCGGGCGUGGGGUCGCUGCCGCCAGGGCCGGCCGCGGGCUCGUCCCGUCGUACAUCCGCCGCUGCGGUGGCGCUGUCCGCCGCCGCACGUGCCACCUCCCGACAAGCGGCAAUCGCCCACAGCGCAUUGAUAAGGCCCUCCGGCGGGACCUCGUGGAGCCGACCAGUGGUCUGAGAGGUUGGGCCGUUGACGGUUGGCAGGUAGUUGCAAGUUAGGUCGUUGAGGCGCUGGGAUGGUAGUUAUCAUGUAAAGCGCGGUAUCGCGUGCUAAGAACGGCGCAAAAAGGGGGUUGAGCGCGCGGGAUACCGUGUCUUCAAUUGAUCAUCUUAUCUGAGCGGCGAUACGGGAUUUAAUGUUCACACAUGUGGAUAUAUUUGUGCACCUAGCAGCCCGUGUCCUGCCGGAUUACAUUGGAUGGCGGUGAGGAAGGCAGGCAAUGGUGGUUUGUGUCUUGUGCGGCUUGGAGUGCGAUUUCGAUAGACCUGGAUAAACGGGCCCGUAAUGGGGCCACCGCCGUACGUGCUGUUGCCGUACCAUGAGACAGUAGUUUUGGAGCCAGUGUCCCUCCAGGGGCAGCUGCAUGCAACCCAGACUCCACAGUACGGCAGUGGCGCCUUCAGGACUGAGACCCCCGACCCAGAUUCCGCCUAGCCAGUAGGCCUGCCGGGAGGGGGGAGGGCGCCAGGUACGACAGAGAAUCGUACGACACAGGAAGCAAAGACGCAACUGCUGCCGACGUCCGAAGCAACCCUCCCAAACUGCUUUGUCGGGGUCUAAAGCGGCAGGUCGUGGGUCAGUUAGGGGAAUGGAGGAGAAAACCGAUUAUGAUUCAAGAUGAUUACGUGGCGGUGAUGAUGAUGAUAAUGAUGAUGAUGUGAUGGUACGUACUAUGUAUUGUGUACGUACGUAUGUACGUACGCAUGUAUGUAUGUACGUAGCCCACUCCCAGUCAGGAUGAAGGCGGGGGAAGGGGUACGCUACACACACCGACGCUACGUACCCCCUCCCCCAAUUUCUCCCUGCUCUCGCUGCUAUCAAUUUGCUGCUCUCACACCACUCCAACAUGUGCCGCGCGCGCGUGUAUGUGUGUGUGUGUGUGCAUUCGCGCGCGCCAAACACCGCCGUACCAUACCGCUCCGCCCCGUACCUGGACCCACUGGUCGGGGGGAAAGUAGUUGUACGACGCAAACGCCCAUGCAAGCCGCGCCAGUUGCUCGGGGGGGAGGUUCGACAGGGCACGCGCCGCCUCAUCGCCACCGAAAUCCAGACCCAGAUCCAGAUCUUGAUCAUCUCCAGGAGGAUCUGGAUCCAGGGCCUCGCGAGUGGUGGAUCCCUUCCCUGUCCGGCCUCGUCGCGGUCGCUGCUGGAUCGCGCCGCCGUCCCGCAACGCCCCAACGCCCCCAACGAGGUGGGGGGUUGCGUGACAGACAUGAAGGGAAGAGAUGGGGGAAGAGAUGGGGGAAGAGAUGGGAGAAGAGAUGGGGGAAGAGAUGGGGAAGAGAGGGGGGAAGAGAGGGGGAAGAGAGGGGGGAAGAGAGGGGGAUGCGGGACAGACAUGAAGGGAAGAGAUGGGGGAAGAGAUGGGGGAAGAGAUGGGAGAAGAGAUGGGGGAAGAGAUGGGGAAGAGAGGGGGGAAGAGAGGGGGAAGAGAGGGGGGAAGAGAGGGGGAUGCGUUCGACUUACUGCGGCACGUGUCUGGAUGAUGUGCCAUUGCCAACUACAACAACACCGCACUAAUAACACUCCCCCUGCUUUUCUUCAGUUCUGCUUCUCUAUCCUUGGCAGCAGCUUCACUCGCUCGUGGUUCGUCUUUCCCCCCUUCCCCAUAUUAACUUCCUCUCCCUCUCCCUCCGCCCCCUGCCCCCCGUCUGUCACCGCGAUGACUCCUUCUUCACAAGUCGCGACUGGUUAGUUAGUUAGUUGGUUAUUGCUUAUCUGCUUCUUGCGUAACCUAGCCUAUAUCCUCCUCCUUGGCAUCAGCUUCACUCGUUCACAUGGUUCGUGGCCUUCCCCCUGCCCCCUCACCUCGCCAUCACCUCCUCGACCAUCCAUCGGUCCCCAACCUCGAUCCGUACUGCUGCUGCUGCUACUACCGUCCCUGUCGUGGCCGUAGCUGUACGACAUGCUGAGGGUUGCAAGCGCCAGAAGGUCAAGUAGCGGGUCGGCGGGUCGGUAGCCCAUCCGGGCAACCGCCCAGGCCACGUCCGCCGCAUGGGUGGGACUCAGGCUGUCCGGUCGCUCAAGGAAAAGCCGUUGGAUCUGUUAUGGCAAUACGAGCCGACGCAGUCGACCCGUAAAAUUUUGAUAUAUUUAGGAAAAUAAAAAAAAUCGUUUAUGGCGGGUCAGGUCACCGACCAACCGGUGAUGAUAAACUGUAUAUAAGUUGGCCUUAACAGCAGUCGAGGGUGUGUCCGUGCUAUGUAUCGGCAAUGUCGGGGGUUCGGGGUAGAAAGCGAGGUGGGGGAGGAUUGGUUAAGCAGGCCUGCUCAGCGAUGGGCAACCUCAUGCAAGGAACAUCUGAAAGAGGAAUGGAAAGAAAUAAAAAAAGUAUGGACAGGGUGAAGGGGGUACGCAGCUCUUUUGGACGGCUCACGGGAGCAGCUGCCAUCCGUCGUUGGAUGUCGGAUGGAAGCGCUCCUCGCGGAACCCAGCGAGCGUACUUAGGCGCUAAGGUAAUUGAACUUUAACUGGGAGUUGGGAUGGGAGUGGGAGUGGGAGUGAGGUCGAGAAGGUGUGUGUGUGUGUGUGUGUGUGUGAGGAGGGGGGGAGGGAGGGACCGGGGAUUUCCGGAAGGGCGGCGGGACAGCGCCGGUGGGGGGGGAAGGGGGGCCGAUGAACAGGUACAAGCAAAAUUGCUAUCGUGGAAAAGUGUGAUGAGUACGACACUCUAGGGUAUGCAGUACAUUUUUCCCAGGACCAAAACUCAUCGCACGACGAUGGAUGUGCAGGGUUUAGGCGGGAAGGGGGAAGUCGCCGCCGCCGCGCCGCGCUCGCACCUGCUGCAAUGCCCCCCCGACCCACGCUGCCUCCGGAACUAGUCGUACAUCCGCCGCCACCCAGACCAACAAAUCCGCCACGUCAUCAGCACGCUCGGACGCUAAGAGCUCAGCUCCCACAGCCUGGGGGGCCCAGCGGCGGACAAUAAAGGCCGCGGUGAGUUCGUCAGCGACGCCGAGAGCAUAAGGCCCCGGAGCGCGACGAAAGUGCGCUCUAUCCACAUUCCGUGAACGAAUGGGUGAUUCAACGGUUUGGCGCGGGGGGAAGGAGGAAACGUGGGGGCAAUGGCGGGGUAAGACGAACCAACACUGACGAUUGACGCAGAUGCCAUGCGGGCGGGGAUGGCGCGUGGUUAUGAGUAACGUUACCUGCAAAUGUAUGUGUUUAUCGAUAUGAGAGAAUGUGCUCCCAGGUCUUUUUUUUUGCUUAUCCCGGGCUGGAUUUGGAUAUCUUCACAUGCUACUGAUCUUUGGAGUGGGAUGUGACGAGAAACAGGAGACUUGGAUGGCAUCCGCCCUGAUGAGAUCCGCCUGAGGUUAGGGGUUGGGUGGCGGUGUCCUGUGUGUGUUGUGUGUGUGCGCGCGUGUGUGGUUUGUGUGUGUUUGUUUGUGUGUGUGUGUGUGUGUGAAGCACACAGCUGCCUACGAGGACUGAAGGUUCUUUUUGGGGGAAAUUGUAUGCCAAGCCAAGGAAAACAGCUGCCGUUGGGCUUUGUGUAGAGAAGGCGGGGGCGGGGGGAGGGUGUGGGGAUAAAGGUGGUGCGCAGGGGCAAGGCGAGGGAAGGGUGGGGGGUGGGGGGAUGUGGUGAUGUGGCGAGCUGAAGGCUAAGGAACCGCAAACAACACAAUGCGGGCACACGUACCACACACGGCCCCAGCAUCCACCUGGAACGAGUUCGCGGUCCACAUACGCACCCCCCCAACCAUGUAACACACACACACUCACAUACACAUACUGCUGCAUUCCCCUCAACCCCCCCCUCUCCCCCACGGCCUCGGCCGGGAAUGAUACGUCCGUCCGUAUGCUAUGUCUGGUGUCCGGUCAUACCUGCCCCCGUGCUGGCCCCCUGCACCCCCCCGGCUGCUCCAAACCCUCUCCCUGCCCCUCCCUAUACGUAGGAAAAACCCGAGCCGUCCCGCAACCCCCAGCCGCGGGCCUGUCACACCCACUCCUUCGUAAAUGCGUCGUCACGCACCGCACACCUGUAGCAGUGCCCGAGCCCACGGCUCCGGAACCUCCACCCCCAGACGCCCCAGUGACCGUGCAAGCGUCGCCAUCUCCCCCACCGACAACUGCGGGAGCACGGGCUCAAUGACGGCCAAGUACAUGUCAAGCCAGGCUUGCUGAGGUGCCUGGCCGACGCGUGCGAGUUUUUCUAGCGCCGACACCAGGCGAGCGGGCUCCACUAUGGGGGCCGCUACGGCACCGCUGCCGCCGGCACCGCCGGACAGGGCCGCGCAUUGGCAGGAACGACGGUACAGGUGGGGAGGGGGAAGACACUGCGGUGCUGCGGCAGCUGCUGCUGGUCCGCUGAAGCUGCUGGCCGUGUGCGGCCGCGGCCGCCGUUGCCGCAGUGUCGAAGGUAGGGUGGGCCAGGCAACGCGGUAAGGUGCGGGGAAGGGCUUGGCGGGAGGGCUGUGCGGCGGUGUGGUUGGGGGAGGGGGUGCCAUCGUCCUCAAAGGCGCGUGGAAGAGGAAUUUCCCUGGUGGGCAAGCGGUUUCGGAUAAGGUCAUAGCUGAGGUGCACGCAGCCGCAGGGGGAAAGGUGAACGUGCGCUGUUGAUUGGGAGUUUGGCGACACGGGAACACUUCCACGAGAGUCAAUGCGGGAGUCAACAACGCUGACGACGCGACCGUUGCUCUCGGAAUUCUCUUGGCGUCCGUGUCUAUAAUGUUUUGGCAUUUGGCGCCAUCACGAGUGCAAGGUAGCACAGAGUUUCUCACGAAAAGCACCGGCAAAGGGUUGGAUUUGUAAAGGCCGCGAUUGAUAGUUUUCAUGGUGCAUACAAAUUGAACAUCAUUCCAUGCAAUGCCGAUAGCUUCACAUGCUGGAAACAGCGAGGGAUGUAUACUGGCGCGAAACGGGUCCACAUCUUAACAUACCUACCAGCUCCCACCUCAAUGCCAGCGUGACACAUCCGGUACCGGUGAAGCAAAAAUUCAAGCCGAAAUUCGUUGAGGCUCAAUUCUCGGAAAAGCCGUACUGACGGCCCUCCUGGACCAUAAGAAAUUUUCUAUGUCUGUUUUGGACCUUCCUGGUUUCAUACAUAGUUCUUAGGCCAAGUAUAUUUUAGGUGCUCGAACUGCCGACACACAACUGCACUUUUUGAUUGCCCUCGCCCUUGCCCACGAGAUCUGCGGCCCCUCCCGCCACCAUGGCUGAGAUAAAGCCGACGCCCAGGAAGGUCAUUGAGACCAUGAAGGAAGCCACUGGUGCCACGGAAGAAGAUAUCAAGUCCAUGCUUCAGCUUUGCGGAGGGGACGUUAACAUGGCGACCGAGCGCCUCCUUGAGAGCCCGUUCCAAACAGUGGGCAAGAAGAAGGACCGCAAGGCACGCGAGGACGACCGCAGGAAUGAUUCUCGUUCUGCUGGUGGACGUGGCUACGAUCGGUUUGCUAACGGUGGCUUGGGAAGGGGCCGCGGCAGGGGCGAGGGCGGGCGUGGCGGCCGGGGGAGCGGCUACGCGACCGGACGUGGAUCUGCCGGGGCUCCGCCGCCGCGCGGUCCGUCCGCCGGUCCUCGCCAGACAAACUCCUCAAAUUUUAACACAGAUUCUAAUGGCGGUUCGGCCCAUGCCGAUAGCAGCUGGGCAGCGCCGACCGCUCAGGAUGGCGAUGCAUGCGCAUGGGGCACCUCGGGCAGCGCCUCCUGGGGUGAGGAAAAAGCUCCCGAAACUUCUACUUCAAAUUCCGCAGGAUUUGGAACUUCAUCUGCGGCUGCGGCAUCUACUUCCGGAAGCGCUUGGGGUGCGGCUCCAAGUGACAAUGCGAGCGCGCCAACUCAGCAUCCGGCACCGAUCAGGCCGGGAGGGGGCAUGACUAUGGCCGCGAGGCUUAAAGCGACGCAGCAGAAACCUCCAGUAGCCGCGCCUGCCCCCGCGCCUGCCCCGGAGCCGCCCAAGCCUGUCGCGCCAAUUCCCGCUGCAGCCUCCCCCACGCCCGCUGCACCGCCCGCGCCGGAGCCGGAACUGGUAGCAUCGGCCUCAGCUGUCCCAACAGCUGAACAAACCAUCACCUCAACAAGUUAUGCUGUGCCGUCAGUUUCGACAGCAGCAAGCGAUUGGGGAGCAAAUGCUGGCAAGGACCUUAUGGGGAUGCUGUCGGGCGCCAGUAAGGCCGCUGCGCAGGCGGCAUCCUCUGCGACCCCACCGGCAACCGCGGCUUCCCCC